CUCAUAUUUCACAAUGAAAGAAUGCCGUGCAUCGCCGUGGGCGCGAGAAUCCAUCAUGUUAGGCAUGCCAAUCACCGCAGAAGCGAGCAUGGAAAGAGAGAAGGGGACGCUUGAUGAAGAUGAAGAUGAAGAUGAAGAUGAAGAUGAUUUGUUUGUAGGCAUGCCAAUCUCCGCAGAUGCGAACAUGGAAACAGAAAGGACAAUGCUUCUUGUAAGAAAUAUAAGUGCUCCUUCCACACACGGACCCCACGCCCCCGCUGAUGAAGAUGAAGAUGCGGAGCAUAAGAAAUUAAUGGACCGCCGCAUGCACGCGCUAGCGACCCAAGGAAAUGUUGAUGGCUUUAUUAAAAUUUUAGGCUCGAUAUCCUCCGAACAGAACCCACUUCUCUGCCAAGUUAGUCCCCGGAAAAACACAUGCCUCCACAUAGCAGCAAGCUUUGGACACCAUGAUCUUGCCAAGUACAUCGUGAAAGAGUGUCCAGAUCUUAUAAAAAAUAAAAACUCCAAAGGCGACACGGCACUUCAUAUUGCUGCUAGAAAAAGGAAUUUAUCUUUCGUUAAGAUUGUCAUGGAUUCAUGCCCUUCUGGAGGUGGCGCAUCCCAAGAUGUAGAGAAGGCUGAGCCUUCAUUGCUGGGAAUUGGUAACAAAGAAGGAAAUACAGUGUUGCAUGAGGCACUGAUAAACCGUUGCAAACAAGAAGAGGUGGUGGAGAUCCUUAUUAAGGCAGAUCCCCAAGUGGCUUAUUAUCCGAAUAAGGAGGGAAAGUCACCAUUGUAUCUAGCUGCAGAAUCACACUACUUCCACGUCGUAGAGGCUAUAGGAAACUCUGAAGUUGAGGAGCGCAUGAAGAACAGAGACCGCAAAGCAGUCCAUGGUGCCAUUAUGGGAAAGAAUAAGGGUAUUUCCCGCCUCCUUCUCUCUCUCUAUUAAAUUUUCUUCUUCCUCUUCAAACUUAAAAAGCAUUGUUUGCAAUGACGAUGGGGCUUAAAUAAUCUGUUGCUUCUAACCAUAGAAGAAGUCUACUGGGCUUGUCUCAGCUUUUGCUUCAAUAUUCCUUGUUCCUAAAAAUUCAAAUUUUUUUAUUAAUUUAUGGGAGAUCCAUAAUAUUUACAACUCUUCUUUCCCAACCCAAACCCCGUCGUAAAUAUUCUUCAUCUUUGUUUUCAAAAUCCUAAUCCUAUUUUGUCAUCUUCUAAUUAUUCUUCUUCAAAACUCCAGUCCUAAUUAAUUCUUUAUUUUAUUUUCUAAAUCACAAAAAUUUAAAAUUAACUAUAAAAAAAAAAAAAAAAAAUUGCAGUUACAUAUGGCUUCGUUGUGUGCAUAUGGGAUGGUUUAAUUAAAUAGAGGGGGUAAAAAGGGCCGUAAGAGGGAAGAACAAUUGUCUGUAUAGUUUGGGGUUGACUUCAAGUGAUCAUUUAAGAUUUGAUUUCGAGAUUAAGGUUAGAGUUAGGAUUUUUCUUUUCCCUUUUUUUUUCUUUAUGUUAUAUGUUUCUUAUAGAUGCGAUGAAGUAGAAUGGAUCCUACACAUUUGAAAGAAACACAAAUUAUAAAUGAUGUGAUGAUUUUCUAUUAUUCCCCAUUUAACUAUUGCAAUAUUAUUAAGAGUAUGGAUGGGAAUAAGAUAGGUGUUUACAGAAAUCAUCCCGUUGAGUUUGAAAUUUAAAUAAAUGAGGUUUGAAAUGAGUUUGAGAUUUUUUCAAAGAAUUAAACAGAGCCAAAUGGGGUGGGACAUGUAUGAGGACGUUUAAUUUUUUUUUAUUGGGAUGGGACUUAGAAAUAUUUUGAAUAAAUGAGAUGGGGGUUGGGAUAGAAGUGACCAUCCCGAAUCCACCCCAUUUCAAUCCCUAAUUAAGAAGAAGAUAAUGUAAAUAACAAAAUUUACAGAAUUUUUAAAAUCCAAGGAGGGAACUUAUAAUUAAAGGAAGCUUUUAAAAGGAUGGGCACCCCAUGUGGUACAACCUCACACCAAAUUGAUACUGUUUUGUUGAAUUACAGAUAAUAAAAUAAUCAAUUAAAAAAAAUCUCUUUUCUAUUUUUAUAUUAAUUUUCCUUCCUUAUUUUAAUUAUCUAAUAAUUGAACCCUUUCCAAACAAAAAAAAAAGCAAUCUUAAUUUUAUUUUUUAUAUGUGAAUUUUUUUUUAUGUAAUUUUAGUUAUUAAUGACUUGCACUCAUAUAAUAAUAUAUUUAUUAGAAAAAGGUUGUUUGAAACAUUCAUAUAAAUUUUUCUUUUAUAUAUGAUGAAAAAAUGCCAGAGAUGUUGGAAAAAAUACUGGCCAUGAGGCUCGUCCACCAAAAAGACGAAGAUGGAAGGACUCCACUUCAUUGUGCAGCAUCCAUUGGAUAUCUCGAAGGAGUUCAAAUGCUGUUAGACCAAUCUAACUUGGAUCCAUAUCGAACGGACUCUCAUGGCUUCUGUCCCAUCCAUGUUGCAUCAAUGAGAGGCAAUGUGGACAUUGUCAAAAAGUUGCUCCAGGUCUCCUCUGACUCAGUAGAGUUGCUAAGCAAACUCGGUGAGAACAUUCUUCAUGUGGCAGCCAGGUAUGGUAAAGACAAUGUAGUCAAUUUUGUGCUCAAAGAAGAAAGGCUUGAGAACUUUAUAAAUGAGAAGGACAAGGCUGGAUACACGCCACUGCAUUUGGCAACCAUGCAUAGACAUCCCAAGGUCGUAAGCUCUUUAACAUGGGAUAAAAGAGUUGAUGUGAAUCUUGUGAAUGAUUUAGGCCAGACUGCUUUGGACAUUGUAUUAUCAGUGGAGCCUCCAACUACAUUUGACCAGGUAUAUCUAUAUGAUGAUUUGCAUCUUGUUUUCUAAAUGAUGGGUACUACUAGUAGUUUCACCCUUCAACUGCAUGCCAUGAGUAGGAAAUUAGAAUGCCUCAUCCAUGCAUUGUUACAGUGCUAUGGCAUUUUCCUUCUUAGAUGCAUGCAUGCAAUUAAAUUAUUAAAAGGAUCGAUCAGGACAACAUGGUUUGUUUUCCUUUCCUAGAAGGACCGACUAAUAUUAAUAAGAACUAGAUCAACACUUCAACUCAAGCCACUAACCCUUGAUUGAAGGUCAAUUUGAGCCCAAGAUAUCCUAAAAGUCAAGAAAAUUAUGGAGCCUAACUCAAUCACCAUCACCCUCGCCCAGAUUAGAGCGACUCAACCAAGGUUAGGCUAGGUUUCUCCAGCAAGUGCAUAUACUCUUGAUGUCGGCAAAGACUUAUGGGAAUAAUUUUUUGCAUCAUACUAAAAAGUUUUCAGUGUAGAGAACUGCUAUAUCAUGUGCGCUUGUGGUUGCUCUCUUGCUGCUUCACAUUGCUUAAUUUCAUACUUCUAGUGGGUGUUCAUUGAAUUUACAGGGAAAAGAGAAUAGCUUCCCAACAAAAUAUUACGAAACCCAACUCAUGGAAUUAUAGUCUACUUUUAGUUAUUAUUACGACACAUACAUUUUAUGUUCUCUCUUUCUCACGAUUACAUUAACAGCAACAUUUUUUUCUCUACUACGCAGGCACUAAUUUGGACAGCACUCAAAUCUGCUGGUGCACGACCAGCGGGAAAUUCAAAGUUCCCACCCAAUAGACGUUGUAAACAGUACUCUGAAUCACCUAAAAUGGACAAGUACAAGGACAGGGUAAACACUCUUUUGUUGGUUUCGACCCUUGUUGCCACAGUGACAUUUGCUGCUGGUUUUACCAUGCCAGGUGGCUACAACAGCUCCGACCCAAAUGUCGGCAUGGCUGCCUUGCUGAUGAGAAAUAUGUUCCAAAUGUUCGUCAUCUGCAAUACCACUGCUAUGUAUACCUCCAUCCUCGCGGCAAUCAUCCUCAUCUGGGCACAGUUAGGUGAUCUCAAUUUGAUGGAUACUGCCCUCAGAUUUGCAUUGCCAUUCUUGGGGUUGGCCCUUACUGCGAUGUCCUUAGGCUUCAUGGCAGGUGUUUACCUGGUGGUCAGUAAUCUUCAUUGGCUUGCAAUUGUUGUCGUCAUUAUUGGAAUCAUCUGCCUUGUCGGUCUCCUAGUACCCUUUUUUUUACUUUUCCUCCCAAGUAAGUCUACUAAUCGUAUCCUUAGGCACAUCUCCUAUUAUCCGUUUCUUAUAUUGGUAUGGGCAUCUAAAAGCCCCGAAAUGAAACGGGAAGAUUAGCUAGCCCUGUUGAUGAUGUCUGCUAGCUCCAUCUUCCCCUAUGUUUGUUGCUUCUUUCAGCAUUAUCUCAAUGACUUGGUAGACAAAGUAUGUUAUGUAUAAAUGCUUAGUGUGAUAUAUUGAUGGUGUUGUACAUGACCAUUUCUUAUAUAAAUCUAUGGUUUUUGGAUCUAUAAUUAGGUAGUUCUAUAUAUAUUUCAAUAAAUACUCCAUUCAUACAUAAAUAACCUGAAUUCGUUAUUAAUAGGUUCAGUUUAAUUUAUUGAUUGAAAUUUGAAUUUGCAAUUGCAAUUUUUACACUUUUUUAAUUAUUAUUAUGAGAAUUUUGAUUUUCAAAUCGGUUGCAUCUUCUACAUUACAAUUCAUUGGGAAGGGGAAAAGGUUUUAAUUUUGGAAAAAAAAAAUUUAUUGGCUUUUGAGUUCCAAAGAAUUUUUCAAAAUUAAGGAGUUUAAUAAUUUUUUAAAAAUAAUUUGAAAAUAAAAUAUCGAGGGAGUUAACACUAGAACUAAGAAUUAGUUGAAAAUGACUAUAUUAAUCUCUAGUUUAUGCACAAUUAUAUUUUUCAUUAUAUUUUAUUAUAUUAUUAAUAUUCAUAUUUUAUUAAAAAUUAUUUAUUUUGAAUUUAUUUAUAAUUAAAAAAUUAUUUUUAUUUUUAAUAAGACACAAAUUAAAUUUAACUUAUAUUAUAUAAAUUAAAUUUAUAAUUUUGUGAUUUUUACAAAAUAAAAAUAAAAUUUAUUUUUAGAAACAACUAAUUUAAUUCUUAUAAUCAUUUAAGUUAUCUAAAUAUAGAAAUAAAUGAGAAAAUAAUGGAGAUCUUCAUUUCCAUUCCUGUUUUACCGCGUGGCAAACAGUCCCUCAUCUUAAUUAAUAACAUAACAUGAUUUAUAUAUUUGAUGGACGGUAAAAUCAACCCUUUGUUUGGUAACUCAUAUUGUAGUAAACCCUAAGUUGAGUUUGAUGAUAGUCGGACGUAUUGAUGACGGAUUUGACGGACAUAACGUUCAAACCCGCUCAAAGACUCAAUCAAACCCACAGAACUUCACAACUGAUUAAAAUAAUUUUAUAAACCAAAAUGAUCAAACUUUGUAGUUUCUGGGAUUCGUGUUGAUGCUUCCAAAUAGGUUCCAAGAUGUUCCCAGUGAGUUUGGAAAAGAGAGAAGUGGAUUCCUUGAGCUUCUCAAACAUUUUCUAAGAAAUUGUCAAACACUUGGUCUCUUCAUCUAACCCGUAUGAUUCAAACACACCCAUGAAGACUUUUCUUCAUAGGACGUCACAUUUCAAACUCCAGCAAACGAGUAAGAUAUUUGAGUUGCCGUGCUUCAUAUCCAUUCCGUGUCUGUUGGAAGUCCUAUGUGAUGUAAGUUGGACUAUCAAAUGAAUUUCUUUUAGUAUCAUAUUUUUUAUUCAACUUAUCAUAUGUAUGUAAUGCAUAGGUUCUUCUCUCACAGAUUGACUUGGCCCUUACUUCCAUCCCAAGCAAGAAAGUGCAGGUAUCUCAUGGCCGGCAGUGGACUAAUGAUAUAUGAACUCAUUUUAAAUUGGGUCUGACUAACUUGGCCACUGGGGUUGUUACCUCGAAAGGACUUGAGUGGGGUUCAUGUUUAAGUCUUUCUUUUUUAAUCUAGGUAUGUACUGUGUGUGCUCUCUUCUUAUUUUAGUCGAAUUCAAAGAAUAGUUGUUUCUUCCUAGUCUUGGUAAGUGGUUGCUCAAGGAUAUCAUAUUAAGAUUUUUAUUAUUUUUAUUUUCUGUUUUUGACUUAGUGCCUUCUCAAGAUUUUGAAUUGUCAAAAAAGCUGGUUAUAUUGUAUAAACAAUCAUCAUAGUAUUAGAAUUAGCAUAUAUAAUUUGGUAUUGAUGUGCAUGUUCUCUUCCUCUGUAUGACCUAUCCUUUGCGAUGAAGUAUCGGACUGGUUUCUUUGUUGCCAUUAUUUCUUUUUUCUUUUAAACUUCUUAAACCAACAUAAAUACAAGCACAGCUAACGGAUUUGAUUAGGCAAGUCAACUACAAUAGGAGAUAUUAUGAGACAAGACGAUUUAAUGAUGAAUUUUGAGAGGCUAAGAAAGCAGGGGAGGGGAGAAAGAUGGAAGACAGGGAAACAAAGGCAAAAACAACCCAAGAAGCAAGCCAUCUUGGCAAUCUCUGAGCUUAAGGAUGCCAAAUUAUUGGAGGACUAUGUGACAGCUAGUUCCAUGGAUCCUGAUUUGUACAGAGCUACGAUACAAGGAGACAUUCUUGAAUUCAUAAAAGCCGUGGAACAAGGACCAGACAAUAGACACGCUGGUGUACCUGCUGCAUCUUGUAUCCAAGUGACCCCUCAGAAGAACACAGUUCUUCACCUAGCAACGAUCUUUGGACAUGACGAGAUUGUAAAACUCAUUUCUAAGGACUUGCCCUUUCUUGUCAUGGAAAGAAAUUGCAGAGGUGACACUGCACUUCACAUUGCAGCCAGAGCUGGCAAUUCACUGCUAGUGAAUUUGUUGAUUAAUUCAACAGAAGGGGUUUUGGGUGUGAAGAAUGAGACGGGUAAUACCGCAUUGCAUGAGGCAUUGCAACAUCGUCAUGAAGAGGUGGCCUGGAAUAUAAUUAACAAGGACAGAAAUAUGUAUUGUUCUGUCAAUAAGGAAGGAAAAUCUUUGUUGUAUUUGGCCGCAGAAGCAGGAUAUGCAAAUCUUGUUAGGUUUAUAAUGGAAAAUCCUGCAGGAAACUACAGCAUUGAAGGAAAGCUCGAGAACAAACCAUCUGUGAAAGCUGCCAUUCUUGGGAAGAAUACAGGUAAAUGAAAUUCUCUCCUCUAAUCUCCCUUUUUUUUCCCUUUAUUGGUAUGCUUGUCUUUCAAUUUCAGACUUCCAAGAGUCUGCACUUGGAUUGGAAAUUUUUAAGUGACUGCACUUUCACACUUCUUAGUUUUUUCCUACAAAAAGCCCUGCAACUACUAUAAACCACCCAAUUCUCUGCACCUGUGAAUCAGAAAACUUUACCCAAACUAUAUUGCAUCCAAUUGUCACCAUUAAAAGGUAAUGAUAUCAUGGCACAUAAGAGCAUUCUCAUUUUUCUGGAAGUUGGAAGACCUCAAUUAUUUCUUGCUUAAUUAAUUGGUGAUAUUCCUGUGCUUCCAUGUUUGAACUAGUGUGUCCAUUGUAAUCUCCUUCCAUGGAUUUCCUUAGGUGUGGCUGCCCAUCAAGAAGAGAUCAGGAAUAGUCCAGAAAUAUUACUGUCUUAUUCUAAUCACAUGAGUAUCUAGCAGUAAAGAAAUAUAUCUGUAGUAGCUGAUUUUUUUAGAUAGGUCCUCUAGUAGCCAAUCGACCUUUUUUCUUUACAAGAAGGCUUCUAUUGUGACUUGUGAAGACAGUGAUAAAUUGACAAUAUUUCUGAUUAUCAUUUGGAUUUAGGAGCAUAUUUUACCAUAUAUUUUGUUCUCACACAUGGCAAGAUUUUCAUUUAAUGUGUUAUCAUCAGUCCUGUGAUCACCAAAAAAUUCGCUUAAAUAUGGUUCACACUUCUUUGUUUGUUUGUUUUCAUUUUUUUGUUUUGGGCGACAUUAGAUGUUCUCAAGAUAAUGUGGGAAAGAGAUCAAUCAUCCUUCAAUUUAAGAUGUGAAGAAGGGAGGAACCCUCUUCACUAUGCAGCAUCUAUUGGUUUUGUUGAAGGAAUCAAUUACUUUUUAGACAAAUACUGUAUCGCUGCUUACCAAGGGGACAAAGAUGGCCUCUCUCCUAUUCAUAUAGCAGCCAUCAAAGGUCAUUUCCACAUAAUUCAAGAGAUGCUCCAGCAUCGCCCAGAUUUGAUGGAGCUGCUCACUUGCAAAGGCCAGAAUACCCUUCAUGUCGCAUGGUACUUGACUUUCAAUUAUUUUAUGCUGAUGGUGGUAUGGUACUUGACUUUCAAUGAACAAUGGUUAACUUUUGGUGAGAUGUAUUUGCUGGUGUAUAACCUGAUAUUUUUAGUUUGAAUAUUCUGAGGGAUAAAAAAGAAAUAAUGAUAUUUAAAUAAGUAUUUUUUAUUUAACAAUAUUAAUAAUUUUAUUUAUGAAUUUAUAUUUAUCUUUUAUUUAAUUAGUAAAUAAAAUAUAUAAUAAGAUAAUUAAGAUUAACUUAUUUAUAAUAAUUCUAUUUUAAUUCAUUAAUAAUAUAAUAUAUAUUUAUAAUUUAUCAAUUAUGUCUUCCCUAAACAAAAACUUUGUCCAUUGAUAUAGGUCAUUUCUUAAUUUGUUCGAGAAUCUAGGUUUAUUUUCUACUCUUGUGGGCUAGUGAAUUUUUUUUUUUUUUUUUUGAAGUGUAAGUGUUACAAUAACCCCACAUCAGAAAUAAAAAAACACCCCCUAACCCUAACGUACCGUACAAAUGAUCUUUUAUUAACUUAGACAUUUACUUGACCAAAGCAAAAGCCAUUAGAUGCUUGUCUUGUAAUGCAAUCUUGCCCUUUGUUCAAUUCACAGCCUUAAAUGAUUCACUGUCAUCCAAUAGAUGGAAAUGGUGAUCUUAAUCGGUUUUUAAAAAUAAAUAAUUGUUUUUGUAUAAUUAAAAAUUAAUUAGGAUUAAAGAUUAAAAAACAAGACUAAAGUUUAAAUUUUGUUUGAAUUUUAAAAUUUAGAAAUUUAAAAAUAAAAAAAUGUAAAAUCAGAAAGGAUUGAAAUUAGGAUCUGUAUAUGAUAUAUUUGUGCGUCGGUAUAGAAGAUUGGGAUUGGAUUGAAGUAGAAAAUUCAAAAUGAAAUUACAAUAAGAAUACGGUAAAGGGAUAACGUUGGGACACCACUACUGGUGUACACUUCCAAGGCUGGAUGUAAAAGAAGGCCAUGCCAUGUCAUGCCACCUGGAACAAAAUAAGGGGUUCUACAGAUUCUCUUAUCGGAAUCAUUUGAGAUAUGGAUGCAUAGAAGGAAAGGAGACUCCUCUAAAACUUGUGUAAACUUGUGUUUGUGUGUAGGUGAGAGGUUGGGACUCUCCGAUCAAUAAGGAACUCGGAGCAGAUUCGAACAAGGAAGAAGGCGGGGAAGGGCAGAUGGCACCACACAUGCCAUUCUCCGCAGAUGUGGACAUGGAUAGAGAUAGAAGUGCUCCUUACAGGUAUAAACACAUCGUCCCUGCAAUCUCCGCAGAUAGAAGUGCUCCUUCCACACAUGUGGGCAUGGCUAGAGAUAGAAGUGGUCCUUCCACACAUGUGGGCAUGGCUAGAGAUAGAAGUGCUCCUUCCACACAUGUGGGCAUGGCUAGAGAUAGAAGUGCUCCUUCCACAUAAGGAGUCGUCGCUCCCGCCGAUGAAGAUGAAGAUGUGGAGCAGGAUAGAUUAAUGGACAGCCGCAUGUACAUGCAGGCGACCCGAGGACGUGUUGAUGAAUUUAUUCAAAUUUUAGAAUCGAUAUCCUCUGAAAAGGAACUUUAAAGCUCAGAAAUCCUCUCCCAAGUUAGCCCCCGGAACAACACAUGCCUCCACAUAGCAGUAAGAUUUGGACACCAUGAGCUUGCCGAGUACAUCGUGAAAGAGUGUCCAGACCUUAUCAAAAAGACAAACUCCACAGGCGACACUGCACUUCAUAUUGCUGCUAGAAAAAAGGAUUUAUCUUUCGUUAAGUUUGCCAUGGAUUCAUGUCCUUCUGGAAGUGGCGCAUCCCGAGAUGUAGAGAAGGCUGAGCAUCCAUUGCUGAUCAUUGUUAACAAAGAAGGAAAUACAGUGUUGCAUGAGGCACUGAUAAACCGUUGCAAACAAGAAGAGGUGGUGGAGAUCCUUAUUAAGGCAGAUCCCCAAGUGGCUCAUUAUCCGAAUAAGGAGGGAAAGUCGCUAUUGUUUCUAGCUGCAGAAGCACACUACUUCCAUGUCGUCGAGGCUAUAGGAAAACCUAAAGUCGAGAAGCACAUGAACAUUAACAGAGACCGCGAAGCCAAGCCGGCAGUCCAUGGUGCCAUUCUGGGAAAGAAUAAAGGUAUGACCCGUCCCAUUCUCAAUCUCCAUUUAAUUCUCCUGCUCUUCUUCUUCUUCUUCAAACCUAAAAAACACCAUUUCCAAUAAAAUCUUAAACCUAUAUUCGAUUCUCAUAGUUGAAAAAAAAAUUAUUAAGGAAAGUGAUUUUCUAAUAUGCUGUUUUACCAUGAAAACAUGAAAGAAAGUGAAAUAUAAUUAAAAUUAAUAAGAAAUUUAUAUCAUUUAAAAUUAUUUAAUUUUUAUAUAGAAUAGUUAAAUAAGUAAAAUGAAUUUAAAGUAAUAUAUAAAAAUAAUUUAUCAAUUUAAAUUUUUUAUUUUUCCUUUUUUAAUUUUUCUUCUUUAUUUUCUAUUUUCACAUAUUCCCUCAAACUUUGGGACCAAACAUAACCUAAAUGAUCACUUGAAGUCAAUCCCAAACUAUCCAAACAAUUCUUCUUUCUUAUAGCCCUUUUUGCCUCCCCUCUAUUUAAACCAGCCAAUAUGCACGCAACAAAGCCACAACAGCAAAUUUUCUUUAGUUAAUUUUAAAAUUUUGUGAUUUAGAAAAGAAAAUUAAGAAUUAGGAGCUAGUGGGGUUUUGAAGAAGAAUAAGAAGAUGACAAACUAGGAUUAGGAUUUUGAAAACAAAGAUGAAGAAUAUUAUUUACAAGGACGGGUUUGGGCCGGGAAGAGGAGUUAUAAACAUUAUUGAUCUCCCAUAAAUUAAUAAAAAUUUUAAUUUUUUAGGAACGGGGAAUAUUGAAGCAAAAGAUGAAAAAAAAAAAAAAAGCCAAUUUACUUUUUCUAUAAUUAGUUCAACAGAAAAACAUAAAUGUGUUCUCAUUUUAAUUUCUUUUAUAUAUGAUGAAAAAAUGCCAGAGAUGUUGGAAAAAAUACUAGCCCUGAAGAUCGUCCACCAAAGAGAUGAACAUGGAAGGACUCCACUUCAUUAUGCGGCAUCGAUUGGAUAUCUUGAAGGAGUUCAAACGCUGUUAGCUAAAGACCAAUCUAACUUCGAUCGAUAUCAUAGGGACGACGAAGGCUUCUUACCCAUCCAUGUUGCAUCAAUGAGAGGCUAUGUAGACAUCGUCAAAGAGUUGCUCCAGGUCUCCUCUGACUCAAUAGAAUUGCUUAGCAAACACGGUGAGAACAUUCUUCAUGUGGCAGCCAAGUAUGGUAAAGAUAAUGUAGUCGAUUUUCUGCUGAAAAAAAAAGGGGUUGAGUACCACGUAUGCACAUCCUAAGGUCGUAAACUAUUUAACAUGGGAUAAAAGAGUUGAUGUGAAUCUUGUGAAUAAUGAAGGCCAGACUGCUUUCGACAUUGCUGUAUCAGUGGAGCAUCCAACUUCAUUGCACCAGGUAUAUAUGACGAUUUGCAUCUUGUUUUCUGAAUUAAGGGUACUACUAUUGGUUUCACCUUGAACUGCAUGCAUUGUUAAUGCUAUGGCAUUUUCCUUCUUAGAUGCAAGCAUGUGAAUUAUUAAAAGGAUCAAUCAGGAAAACAUAGUUUGUAUUUCUUUCCUAGAAGGACCGACUGAUAUUAAUAAAACCUAGUUCAACUAAAAGAAGAUCAAUUUGAUCCCAUGAUAUCCUAAAAGUCAAGAAAAUUAUGGAGCCUAACUCAAUCACCAUCACCCUCGCCCAGAUUAGAGCGGCUCAACCAAGGUUAGGCUAGGUUUCUCCAGCAAGUGCAUAUACUCUUGAUGCCGGCAAAGACUUAUUGGAAUAAUUUUUUGCAUCAUACUAAAAGGUUUUCAGUGUAGAGAACUGCUAUAUCAUGUGCGCUUGUGGUUGCUCUCUUGCUGCUUCACGUUGCUUAAUUUCAUACUUCUUGUGGGUGCUCAUUGAAUUUAUAGGGAAAAGAGAAUGGCUUCCCAACAAAAUAUUUCGAAACCCAACUCAUGGAAUUAUAGUCUACUUAUACUUUCUAUAGUUAUUAUUACGACGCAUACAUUUGAUUUUCUUUCUUUCUCACGACUACAUUAACAGCAACAUUUUUCUCUCUACCACGCAGAGACUAAUUUGGACAGCACUCAAGUCUACUGGUGCACGACGAGCCGGAAAUUCAAAGGUCCCACCAAAACUGCCUAAAUCACCUAAUACGGACCAGUACAAGGACAGAGUAAACACUCUCUUGUUGGUUUCGACCCUUGUUGCCACCGUGACAUUUGCUGCUGGUUUUACCAUGCCAGGAGGCUACAACAGCUCUGAUCCAAGUGCCGGCAUGGCUAUCUUUCUGAUGAGAAAUAUGUUCCAUAUGUUCGUCAUCUGCAAUACCAUUGCUAUGUAUACCUCCAUCCUCGCGGCAAUCAUCUUCAUCUGGGCACAGUUACGUGAUCUCAAUUUGAUGGAUACUGCCUUCAGAUUUGCAUUGCCAUUAUUGGGGCUGGCCCUUUAUGCAAUGUCCUUCGGCUUCAUGGCAGGUGUUUCCUUGGUGGUCAGUAAUCUUCAUUGGCUUGCAAUUGUUGUCUUCAUUAUUGGAAUCAUCUGCCUUUUCAGUCUCUCAGUACCCUUUCUUUUACUCUUCCUCCCAAGUAAGUCUACUAAUCGUAUCCUUAGGUACAUCUCCUAUUAUCCGUUCCUUAUACUGGUAUGGGCAUCUGAAAGCCCCGAAAUCAAACAGGAAGAUUAGCUUGCCCUGUUGAUGAUGUAUGCUAGCUCCAUCUUCUCCUAUGUUUGUUGCUUCUUUCAGCAUUAUCUCAAUGACUUGGUAGACAAAGCAUGUUAUGAAUAAAUGCUUAGUGUGAUCAGAACUUCAAUAUAUUGGUGGUGUUGUACAUGAUCAUUUGUCAUAUAAAUCUGUAGUUUCUGGAGCUGUAAUAUGUGAAAUACUCUAUAUAUAUUUCAAUAAAUACUCCAUUCAUCCAUACUGAUCAAUGCAUAUUUGUCUUUGCUUUAAAAUUUUUUAGAAAAGAAAAAAAGAAAAAAAAAUCUUGGAAAUCCCAAAAUGAUUAAUUUGAGAAAUAUCAUUAUUUAACAAAUAAAAAAACACAUGAAUAUAUAAACCCCACUACGUCAUUUUCUUUGAAGUACCCUGUUGCGGAUUUGAUGAGAAAAAGGUAAUCAAAUGGCAUAGCAUAAAAUUUAAAUUAGAGUUUUCUCAUCAAAAUGUGCAGAAUUAAAACCUUUACUAAAACAAUUGAUUUUUAGGAACCAAAUUUUGGUGAAAAAAAAAAAUCAUAAUUCAUCUAUAAAACUAAUUAUUGACAAUAAACUUUUACAUUUCUUACAAACUAUUUAAUGAUGAUACCUUAGUGAUUAACUUCUAAACUCAUUUAUAAAAUGUAACAUUAGACUUUGUUUGAUUUUGAAGAGUUUGAAAGGAAAUGCAAAAGAAAGAAAAAAAAAGAGGAGAAAAAUAAAAGGAAAGAAAAAAUAAAUUUAAAGUGAAUAAAUUAUUUUGAUAUAUUAUUUUAAAAUUUUUCAUUUAUUUAAAUUUUUAUAUAAAAAUAAAAUAAUUUAAAAUCUCAAGAUUACUAAAAAAUAUCUUGGGAUAGCAAAAAGUUUAUGAUCUUUUUCCUACGUGGAACAAGUGAUAAUUGAGCACCACCUAUUCAAUCCCUCUAAUUAGUUAUGAUUAUCUUAUUUAAUUAAUGAUUUAUGUAUUUCAUAGAUAAGUUGACAAUUUUAUUCUAUACAUUUUAAACUAAAACUCUAUAUACUUUCUUGUAACCAAUUAGAGUCUACGGAUGGUAAUGGGGUGGAUUUUUUUGAGUACUUGCCCGUCCCAUCCUUAAUGGAAUGGAUUUGAAUUUUAACUAAAUGGGUUUAGGAUGGGUUUGGAAAUUUUUUUAAAACUUGGGGUGAAUUUGGGUGUUGUCUUGUCUCAUCCCACCAUAUUAUAUAUAAAAUUAAUUUUUAAAAUUAAAUUAAAUUAAUUUUUAUUUUACUAUUUUUACUAUGUAGAUAAUAAUGAAAUAUUUUUUUUUAAUAAAAUAAGUUAUAAAAAAUAUAAUAAUUUAAUUAUUUAUAAAAUAUAUUUAUUUUAAUGUAAUUAAAAAAAAUUAAAAUUUAAAAAAAAAAAAAAAAAAGUUAAACUGGGUGGGAUGGGGUGGGGCAAGUAUGAAAAUUUCUCAUACCCAUCCCUUCCUGUUUAAUUUUUUAAAUGGGGCAGAGAUGAAAAUUAUUUUUAAUAAAUGGGACGAGGUUGGGAUGGGGGUGACCCGUCCCAUUGCCAUCCUUGCUAGAGUCUGGAAUCGUAAAAACUCAAGAUUACUCACAAUUCAUCUAGGAAUAGCCAAAGUUAAUGAUCUUGUUUCUACAUAGAGCAAGUGAUGAUUGAGGACCAUAUAUCUAGUCUGUCUAAUUAGUUAUGUGAUGCAAGGUUAAAAACCUUAUCUUAUUUCAUAACAUGAUUAUAUUUUAUAGAUCAUAAAAUCAAAUCUUUGUUUGGUAACUCAUAUUUAGUAAACCUUAAGAACCUAAAUUCCCCACGUGUUUGACAUAGAUUCGAAAUUUUGAACCCAAUUUUAAGUUGAGUUUGAUGAUAGUCGGACGUAUUGAUGACAGAUUUGACGGUCAUUACGUUCAAACCCGCUUUAAAAGACUCAAACCCACGUAACUUUGAAUUGGUUAAAAUAAUUUUAUAAAGUGAAACGAUUAAACUUCUUACUUUUUGGGAUUGGUGUUUGUACUUCCAAAUGAUGUUCCUAGUGAGUUUGGGGAAGAGAGUGAUAGGAUUUCAGAAUAAUUAUAAGCCUAAUUCUUGCAAAACAAUCAUCACAUUGGUCUUAAAACUUUGUGAUUUUCUCAAAGUAAAUAAAUAAUCAAGAAAACAAUCGUUAAAUUCUAACUUUUAAACCAUGUCUAGAAAAAUAAAGUUUAAACCAAAAAUCCUAAUAAUAUCAAAAUCUCAUCCUAAUUAUCAUUCAUCACCUGAUCAGAUGGUACUUAAAAAAUUGUUAAUGAAGGGAAAUGAACUUAAAACCUAAUAAGAAAUAUUAAUACAAUUUCACAAAUAAAAUAUUUUUAAUAAAGAUUAUAAAAAGAAGAUAUGAUGUAUAAUCAUUUUCAUAAAAACUUUUUAGUUCAAACAUCCUAAUACAUUCAAACUUUUCAAUAAAACAUUUUUAUAUUCAUGUCAAACAAUUUUAUAUUAAAUUCAAAUAAAUUGUAUUUAAAAUAUUUUACUCUGAUUAUCAAAUAUCAAAUGGUACUCAACUAUGUGAGACUUUACAAAUGGACGGCUACUCUCAAAUUUGUUCCUUUUAAGACAAAACUAAACACUACUAAUACUAGUAAUCUCUAACCAAACCUUUAGAUGUUGGGGUUCAAAUCAAUUGCAUUCUUCAUCAUAAAAUGUAAAUGUUAACUAUUAUAUCGUGUUAAUAUGGACUAAAAAGUCAAAUAUUAUAUCCAAUUGAUAAAGACCAAAAAGUCGAUUAUUAUAUUCCGUUACCUAUGACCAAACAAACCAAAGUCAAACACUUUGUUUUAUUUAUUCAAACUUAUAAAAACAUAAUAUUUUCACAUAUUUAUGUUAUAAACAAAAGAAAAGGUUUUAAUAUAUUUUUCAUGAAAAAUAUAUUUGCUUUAUGCAUAAAAACAAAAAUAACAUUUUACACAUUUCAAAAUAACAUGUCAAAAGAAAAUCAUUUUUUAUUAUAAAAUCCUCAUUAAUUUCCCUUACCUCGAAAAACAUUCAUAAUCCUUGAAGAAUUUAAUUCCAUAUAAACAAAUUUUCAUCUAAUAACAUAAGAAAAACAAUUAUUACUAUUAAUUAUUUGUCUAAAAUUAUAAGUUUGAUAAUCCUAAAAUUUUAUAUAUUAAUAUUAAUAAGUAUCAAUGAUAAUUUAAUUAAUUUAUUCCUUAUUAAAGUAAAAUUAAUAAAUUGCUAAUUUAUAUAAAACUUUUUUCUUAAAUUUGAUUCUAAAAAACAAAAAUACAUUACUAAUUUAAUUAAACUACAAUUUUUAUUUCAUUAAUUAAAUUUUAUUUAUUUAUUAACUUAACAUCUAUCCUCAUUAGCAUUAUUAUACCAUCAACUAACCCAACUCUCAACACCUACUUAAUAUUAUAUAUAAAGGUAGGACUCGCUUGCUUAUCUUUUUCUUAUUUUAUUUCUUUUCUUUCUUGCACAAACCACACUCAUGGCUACAUUCCAUUUUAUUUUAUUUUUUUAAUACACACUUACAAAAAUCACACUGUACACACUCGCCAAGGAACCAAAAGCUUUUUUUUUUUAAACACCCAAAUUCUUUUCUUUUUUUUCUUUUAUGUUGUCACAUAGGUACCCAUCCCAAAUCCAUAAAUCCUUUUUUUCUUUUUCUCAAUACCCUAAGUAUAUAUAUAUAUAUAUAUAUAUAUAUAUAUAUAUAUAUAUAUAUAAGAUAUAUUAUUUAUUUAUUAUUGUUUUAGAUUUACUAAAAAAAUAUUGAGAAUUUCCAAUCUCUAUCAAUAAAUCAACAUUUAUUCAUAAAUUUUCACUAUUUUUUAUUUAGAAUUUAAAUAAACAAAUUAUAUUCAAGAUUGAGAUUUUUUAAAGAAUAUUUAAGUGUUUAAAACUAAUUAACAAAUCUAAAAUACUAAUUUAAGGGUUAAAAUUCUACUUGAAAAACUAAUUUUCAAAUCCUAAACCUCCAAAUCUUCAAUCCUAUAUUGUCUUAUGUUUUUUUGAUCUUUUUCUAAUCUCAAUGUAAAAGGGUUUCUAUAUAAAGAAAUCAAAAAAAUCUAAUUUAUAUUUAAGGUUUUUAAUGCAAAAAGACCUUUCUAACCUUAUUAAAUUUAUUUAUUUUUUUCUUUUACUCUAAUUUAUGGUUUUACCCUUAACAAUAAAAUGGGGGGUGUUACAUAAGAAGCUUGUUAGAAAAAUUAGACUAAUCCAACCUAUGGUAAUCACCCUAAAGAGGGGGUGAAUAGGGUGAUAGUCUCUUUUUGCAAAUUUAAACUAUGUGAAAGUAAGAGACAAUUAUAUGUAAGUAUAUAAUAAACAAUAUAAAGACAAUUGCAUAUAAAUUAAAAGAGUAGGGAAGAGAGAAUGCAAACACAAGAUUUUAUAGUGGUUCGGCGCAACCCGGCCUACAUCCACUCUCCUCUAGCUUCAAUCCAAAGCUUGAAGUUCCACUAAUUCAAGGCUUCCAAACCAAGCCUUCAAGUAAUAUAAUUGGACUAUGGUUCCAAUUUACCCUCUUGGACUUUUGGCUCCAAGCACCCUUUACACUUCUCAAGAGAUAUCCCACUCUUGAACAACCCCUCAAGUGAUACCACACACUUGAGAAACUUCCUCUCAAAGAUUUACAAAUAAAUGAUCUUAUAAAAUCUUAGUACAAAAACUUUAAACUCAAAUGAUAUAAGAAAACUAGAAUUGAAUGGUGCACUAAAGAUAUACAAAUUUUAGAACAAUGGUGCACUCAAAAAUACUCUUCCAAAGCUCAAAUAUAUUCAAGAAAGGUUUGGGAAGGUUAUGUUUCUUAAACAAUAAAGAUUGGAGCAUUUUUAUAGAAGAAAAAAGUCAAACUAGUCGUUGGGGGUUCGACCGAUUAACUAGCCGUUAGCAUUUAAUGUUGGCAGGUGACUGUUGGACCUCGACCAGACCUCAACCGGUUGAGGUUCAACCUUGACCGGUUGAACAACCGUUCUAGAAGAAAGAGAAAAUUUUUUGCACCAUCGACCGGUUGAGCUGGGGGUCGACCAGUUAUUGUUCAUACCCUUGACCGAUUGAAUUGGGGGUUGACCGAUUACUAUUCAUGCCCUUGAUCGGUUGAGAUAGGGGUCGACUGGUUACUGUUCAUCCGGUUUAACCGGUUGAGCCGUUUUUGGUUCAACAACCAAAUUUUUCAACUUAAAACCUUUUAAACAAGUUUGAAACAACAUUUGACACAAGGUUUUAGUUGAAAAUAUGAAAUCAAAACAAAAUAAUUCUUGGAUGAUUUCGGUGCAUAUGUAAAGAAUGUAAUGCAUGGAAAUCCUAGUGCACCAACAAUCUUAUAAAAAGAUCUUAUGAAACUUGGGUCUUAAAAAACACUUCUCUUUGAGGUGGUCUUCUUCUUCAUGAUUUUUCUUUGGCUUGAUUUGUCUUUAUGAUUGCCACUUUGGAAAUCGUCUUACUUAAUUACACUUGAAAUAUAAUCAUUAGUUCUAAACUUUGUUUUGUUAUCAUCAAAACCGAGAUUGACCGAAUCUUGAUUUCACAAAGCCUAAUAAUAUUUUAAAUAAUUUGAAAGUAAAAAAUCGUGCUAGAACCAAAAAUUGUUUGAAAAUGAGUACAUCAAUUUCUCACCUAUGCACAUUCUUUUUAAAAUUUUCUUAUUAUGUGAAUGAGUUUCAAAUAAAAUGAUAUUUAAUGCACUGGAUUGGUUAGCAAGUCUAAUGAUUUUUUUUUAAUUAAUUUAGAACUUAAAAAUGGGCUCAAUUAAUUUCAAAAUUUCAACCAAAAUAGUUAAAAAUAUCCCAAAUGUAUGUGUAUUAAAAGAAACUAAAUUAUUCAUAUAACUAGAAAGAGUAAAUUCAUAACUUAUUUAAAAAUAAUAUUAACUAUUAACAUUUUCUAAAAAUAUUAUUAUUCAUUUAAAAUAUAUAUAUAUAUACUUGACAUUAUUAAAAUAUCAGCAUUCAUAUUUUAUAAUAUCCACUAUAUAAUUCUAUUUUUUUUUAAAUAUAUAUGAUUUUUAUUUUUAUUAUAAUGUUAGUUUCAUAUUUUAUGAAUAUUAUCUGUGUAUUAUUUAUUUAUUUCAUAUUGAUCACUUAGAAUUUAUAUGAUAUUGAUAUUCAUUUUAAAAUAAAUUUAGGUUUAUGUGGCUAUUUUUAAAAUACUAUAAUUCAUUAUUAGAAAGUUUAAUAUAUUAUUAGUUAUUUUUUUAUAGAAAAUGUGUUUUAAAAAAAUGUUUAAUAAAUAAAUAAAUAAAUAACCAUUUAGCAAGAGGGGUUUGUAUAGUGGGUGAGAAAAAUGAAAUAAAAUCCAUGACGCUAGGAGAUCUUUUUCAUCGCAAUGAAUCUAUUAUAUAAAGGAAAAAUGUGAAUGAACCAUUUGCCAUGUUAAUUUUUUUGAAAUAGUGUAAGGAAACAUAUUUUGGUUGUUACAUGUUUUCCAUAAGAAAAGUAUGUUUGGAAACUUUCAAAUUUUUUUUUAAUAAUAAUAAUAAUUUUUAUUUACAGUACUUUAUUUAUUUAUUUUUAUUUUUCAUAUUUAUAUAAUUAUUUUUUAAAACAAAUAAAAAUAAUUAAAAUAUGUUCUUAAAAAACUCUAUUUUUUAAAUAAGUUCUCAAAAAUAAUAUUUUAUAUUAAAAAUAAUAUUUUCUAACUGACAAGAAAAUUCCAAACUUAUUCGUAAGAAAUGUGGUUCAUGAUUGGUUGGUGGUUAGUCACUAUCCAUUUAAUUCAUAGAAUUAAACGUUUAUACACCUCAUCUACCAACAACGGUUGUAUCCUCAUCGUGUCAUGUGCAUACCAUUUAAAAUUCUCAAAUAGAAAAAUGAAAUGAAAAUUAAUAUAAUUUUGAUUUAUUAAUAUAUUUGGAUUAAUUGUUUUAUAGAAUGAGAAUAUGAAUAAAAAAUUUAUUAGUAUAGAAAUCAAAUUCCACUCUUAUGAGGAUUUUGAUUCAUUUAUACUAUGUCAUAGUGUUUUACCUUACGCUUGGGUUGAAUAGUAUAUAAUAUCCAUAUCUUAGAAUAUCAUAUCCCCUCCUUAUUCAACUUAUUUGCAAGAUUUGUAUUUGUCAUUCAAAAGUCAUCUUUUAACACGACAAUUAAUACAAAGCUAUUAUGUAGUCAUAUAUUUAUCACUUUUUUUUUUAUGUUGAUAGUGAAUUUAACUUUUUACGGUUGUAUCUUAUUUUUAUAUAAUUAUAUUAUAUUUAUUUUAUUUUUUAUAUUAAUUUUUAAAUGUGACUCACAAUUGGUUGGAGGGUUAGAGACUUCAUAAUAUUAGAAAAACAAGUUACAUCCUCAUCCUAUUGACAUGGUAACAACGUGUAAAUCUUUUUGUCUAUCACUCAAAAACCACAUUUUAGUGAGGCAACCUAUACAAAACCAUUGCGUAGUUAUAUAUUUGUCUCAACUUUUCUUUAAGUUGACAAUGAAUUUAAUUUUUUGCACAAAUAUCUUAUUUUUAUAUAAUUGUACUCCAUUUAUUCUUUUAUAUUAAUUUUCAAAUGUGGCUGAUAAUUGGUUGGUGGUUUAGUUAUUAUCAAUGGUUUAAACUAAUCCAAUUAUUGACUAGUGACCUUUUCGAUCCAAUUCACACCUUUAAGUCGUUUUAUCAUUGAAUUUAUAUUACUCAAAAACAAGUUACAUCCUCAUCCAGCUAACAUGCUAAUGACAUUUCAAGCUUUUCAUCAGUAACUCAAAAGCUAGAUUUUAGUAGGAGAGCCAAUAGAAAGCCAUUUUAUUGUCAUAUAUUCGUUUCAAUUUUUAUUUUUUAUAUUGACAAUGAAUUUAAGGUUUUUUUUUUUUGCCCUUUUAAUAUAUAUAUAUAUAUAUUCCAUUUCUCUCUUUCAUAUUAAUUUCCAAAUGUGAUCUGGUUGGUGGGUUAGUCAUUGUCUAUUAAAUUCAUAUCACCCACCAAAUUUAGUUGCAUCCUUAUUAGGCUAACGUGUCAAUAACAUGCUAACAACAUUUAAAAAUUUUCAGUAAGACAAUGAAUACAAAGUCAUCAUGUGUCAUACAUCUGUCUCAAUAUUUUUACAUUUUUUUUUUUUUGCACUUAUAUCUUAUUUUUAUAUUAUUAUAUUUCGUUUCUCUUUUUUGUAUUAAUUCUUAAAUGUGACCGAUAAUUGGUUGGUGGGUUAGUUGUUGUUCAUUGAAUUUAUAUCACCCAAAGAGCUAAGUUGCAUCCUCAUCUAUCUAACAUGCUAAUGACAUUUAAAACUUUUUAUUUGUUACUCAAAAGUCAUUUUUCUGUAAGACAACCAAUACGAAGCUAUCAUGUAAUCAUAUAUUCAUUUCAAAUUUUUUUAAUCUAUUUUUUAUUUUUGGUGUUGACAAUGAAUUUAAUUUGUUACACAUAUAUUAUUUUUAUAUAAUAAUAUUUCAUUUCCUUCUUAUAUAUUCAUUUUCAAUGAUGACCCAUAAUUGGUUGGUAGAUUAUUCAUUAUUCAUAUAAUUAAUAUCACUAAAAAAUAACUUGAAUCAUCAUCUAGUUCAUAUAUUAAACCACAUUUAUUAUUUACAUUUUUCAACCAAUUUAAUUUGUUGAUAAUAACGACGGUCCAAAUUUAUGAGAUAGUCUGUUGUUAAAAAAAUUUUAUUGGUAACGGAAAAUUCUCAUCGAUAGACUUUUGUCAACACAUUUUUCCCUAACUAUCAUGUAUUGAGAUUAUCCAUUGAUAAAUGUUUAUUCAGAUAGUAUAUAUUAAUGAAGAAAAGUAAAAAAUUUUGUAAUGUGUUAACAAUGAGUUUAAUUUUUUGCACUAAUUAAUAUUUUAUUUUUAUAUAGUUAUAUUUCAUUAAUUUUUUUUUAUAUUAAUUUUCAAAUGUGGAUAAUUUUUCGGUGGAUUAGUCAUUGUUCAUUGAAUUACAUCGGUUCCAACAUGGUAGAAGCCAACUAUAACAAAAGUUGUAUCAUCAAAUGAAGUUCAUUUAAACCAGUUUAUCUCAAUUCAAUUUAUCAUUAAGCCAGUCUAUUUUUGGGGUUUUGUUUUGUGUUGCACCAUAAUGCAAUUAAGUUGUUUGAUGAGAAGUCUAGCCAAAUUUGACAUCGGUUGACCCAUGCAAGUUGUAUGAUGAAAACCCAUCUAUUUGUACCAUGCAUGGAAAAAAAAACAUACAUGGCAUUAUUAAAUUUCAGACUAUAAUGUAAUGCCAUGAUCAAAAGGGUCGAAAAUACGAGAAUAAUUAAACUUAGGAAGUUAAAAUGAUAGCAAAAUUUUAAGCACAUUAAUGUGGUCUUCUUGAGCAGUAAAGCAAUUAUAGUAAUUAUUAAUCUUCAUCUAAUUAAUCAAGUAAAAUAAUUAUCAUUAAUUAUAAUAAUUCAUUUUUUUAUUGUGUAGAUAUUAUCUACUUUACUACGAAUGCGCAUCUACGGCUUUUUGUCUUAUUGAUGAGUUAGGUAAUGUUUGCUCACCCAUUUCAGCCCUUUGCAGUGCCUGUGUCCAUGCUUUUAAUGCUACGUCCGUAUUUCCAUUUAUCAGCUUAGGUUAGAUAAAAAAUGCAGAAGGUAAAAUCAGACAUAAUAGAAAUUAGGGGCUGUAUGUCAUAUAUUUGUGCGCGAAUUUGGGAUUGGGUUGAAGUAAAAAAGUCAAAAUGAAAUUACAAUAAGAGUACGGUAAAGGGUUAACGUUGGGACACCAGUACUGAUGUACACUUCAAGGAAGUAGGCCAUGGCAUGUCAUGCCACCUGGAACAAAAUAAGGGGUUCUACAGAUUCUCUUAUCGGAAUCAUUUGAGAUAUAGGAUGGAUGCAUAGAAGGGAAGGAGACGACUCCUCUAAAACUUGUGUUUGUGUGUAGGUGAGAAGUUGGGAUUCCCUGAUCAAUUAAACAUGGCUGAGGAGAGGGAUCCAGUAGAGUUGGGCAUGGCACUCGGCGCAGAUUCGAACAUGAAAGAAGACAGCGUAACAGCUAAGAAGAGGGCAAAACGGUGGGCAAUCACCGCAGAAGCGAGCAUGGAAAGAGAGAAGGGGAUGCUUGAUCAAGAUGAAGAUGACUUGUGUGUAGGUGAGAGGUUGGGAUUCUCCGAUCAAUCAGACAGGGCUAAGGAGAGGGAUCUAGUAGAGUUGGGCAUGGCACUCGGCGCAGAUCCAAACAUGAAAGAAGAUAAGGAAACAAGUAAGAAGUGGAGGGCAGAUUCGACACUGAUCAGCUCAGAUUCGACGAUGGAAGAAAACCCUGCACCGCCUGAGGUGUGGGUGCCAGAAACCUCGCCAAUCUUCGCAGAUACUAAGAUGGCAAUAGACAUCAGCUCAUAUUUCACAAUGAAAGAAUGCCGUGCAUCGCCGUGGGCGCGAGAAUCCAUCAUGUUAGGCAUGCCAAUCACCGCAGAAGCGAGCAUGGAAAGAGAGAAGGGGAUGCUUGAUGAAGAUGAAGAUGAAGAUGAAGAUGAAGAUGAUUUGUGUGUAGGCAUGCCAAUCUCCGCAGAUGCGAACAUGGAAAUAGACAGGGAAACGCAUCUUGUAAGAAAUAUAAGUGCUCCUUCCACACACGGACCCCACGCCCCCGCUGAUGAAGAUGAAGAUGCGGAGCAUAAGAAAUUAAUGGACCGCCGCAUGCACGCGCUAGCGACCCAAGGAAAUGUUGAUGGCUUUAUUAAAAUUUUAGGCUCGAUAUCCUCCGAACAGAACCCACUUCUCUGCCAAGUUAGUCCCCGGAAAAACACAUGCCUCCACAUAGCAGCAAGCUUUGGACACCAUGAUCUUGCCAAGUACAUCGUGAAAGAGUGUCCAGAUCUUAUAAAAAAUAAAAACUCCAAAGACGACACGGCACUUCAUAUUGCUGCUAGAAAAAGGAAUUUAUCUUUCGUUAAGAUUGUCAUGGAUUCAUGCCCUUCUGGAAGUGGCGCAUCCCAAGAUGUAGAGAAGGCUGAGCCUUCAUUGCUGGGAAUUGGUAACAAAGAAGGAAAUACAGUGUUGCAUGAGGCACUGAUAAACCGUUGCAAACAAGAAGAGGUGGUGGAGAUCCUUAUUAAGGCAGAUCCCCAAGUGGCUUAUUAUCCGAAUAAGGAGGGUAAGUCACCAUUGUAUCUAGCUGCAGAAUCACACUACUUCCAUGUCGUAGAGGCUAUAGGAAACUCUGAAGUUGAGGAGCGCAUGAAGAACAGAGACCGCAAAGCAGUCCAUGGUGCCAUUAUGGGAAAGAAUAAGGGUAUUUCCCGCCUCCUUCUCUCUCUCUCUCUAUUAAAUUUUCUUCUUCCUCUUCAAACUUAAAAAGCAUUGUUUGGCUUAAAUAAUAUGUUCCUUCUAACUAUAGAAGAAGUCUACUGGGCUUUUCUCAGCUUUUGCUUCAAUAUUCCUUGUUCCUAAAAAAUCAAUUUUUUUUAUUAAUUUAUGGGAGAUCCACACUCUUCUUUCCCAACCCAAACCCCGUCGUUGCAAAUAUUCUUCAUCUUUGUUUUCUGAAUCCUUUUUUGUCAUCUUCUUAUUCUUCUUCAAAACUCCACUCCUAAUUAAUUCUUUAUUUUCUUUUCUUUUCUAAAUCACAAAAAUUUAAAAUUAACUAUAAAAAAGAAUUGCAGUUGCAUAUGGCUUCAUUGUGUGCAUAUGGGAUGGUUUAAAUAGAGGGGGUAAAAAGGGCUGUAAGAGGGAAGAACAAUUGCCUGUAUAGUUUGGGGUUGACUUUAAGUGACCAUUUAAGAUUUGAUUUCGAGCUUAAGGUUAGAGUUAGGAUUUUUCUUUUCCCUUUUUUUUCUUUAUGUUUUAUGUUUCGUAUAGAUGCGAUGAAGUAGAAUGUAUCCUACACAUUUGAAAGAAACACAAAUUAUAAAUGAUGCAAUGAUGUUCUAUUUUUCCCCUUUUAACUAUUGCAAUAUUAGUAAGAGUAGGGAUGGGAAUGAGACAAGUUUUUACAGAAACCACCCCAUUGAGUUUGAGAUAAAUUUGAGAUUUUUUUUAAAAAAUUAAAUGGAGCCAGAUGGGGUGGGACAUGUAUGAGGACGUUUAAAUUUCUUUUAAUGAGAUGGGACCAAGAAAUAUUUUGAAUAAAUGAGAUCGGGGUUGGGAUAGAGGUAACCGUCCCAAGCCCACCCCAUUUCAAUUCCUAAUUAAGAGGAUGAUAAGGCAAAUAACAAAAUUUACAUAAUUUUUAAGAUCUAAAGAAGAACUUAUAAUUAAAGGAAGCUUUUAAAAGGAUGGGCACCCCAUGUGGUACAACCUCACACCAAAUUGAUACUGUUUUGUUGAAUUAUAGAUAAUAAAAUAAUCAAUUAAAAAAAACUCUCUUUUUUAUUUUUAUAUUAAUUUUUCCUUCCUUGUUUUAAUUAUCUAAUAAUUGAACCCUUUCCAAAAAAAAUAAAAAUAAAUAGCAAUAGUAGCAAUUACUAGUUUACUAUGAAUUUAUCUUAAUUUUAUUUUUUAUAUGUUCAUAUUUUUUAUGUAAUUUUAAUUAUUAAUGACUUGCACUCAUAUAAUAAUAUAUUUAUUAGAAAAAGGUUGUCAUAUAAAAUUUUUCUUAUAUAUGAUGACAAAAUGCCAGAUAUGUUGGAAAAAAUACUGACCAUGAAGCUCGGCCACCAAAAAGACAACCAUGGAAGGACUCCACUUCAUUGUGCAGCAUCCAUUGGAUAUCUCGAAGGAGUUCAAAUGCUGUUAGACCAAUCUAACUUGGAUCCAUAUCAAACGGACUCUGAUGGCUUCUGUCCCAUCCAUGUUGCAUCAAUGAGAGGCAAUGUGGACAUUGUCGACAAGUUGCUCCAGGUCUCCUCUGACUCAAUAGAGUUACUAAGCAAACGCGGUGAGAACAUUCUUCAUGUGGCAGCCAAGUAUGGUAAAGACAAUGUAGUCAAUUUUGUGCUCAAAGAAGAAAGGCUUGAGAACUUUAUAAAUGAGAAGGACAAUGUUGGAAACACGCCACUGCAUUUGGCAACCAAGCAUAGACAUCCCAAGGUCGUAAGCUCUUUAACAUGGGAUAAAAGAGUUGAUGUGAAUCUUGUGAAUGAUUUAGGCCAGACUGCUUUGGACAUUGUAUUAUCAGUGGAGCCUCCAACUACAUUUGACCAGGUAUAUCUAUAUGGUGAUUUGCAUCUUGUUUUCUAAAUGAUGGGUCCUAUUAGUAGUCUCACCCUUCAACUGCAUGCCAUGAGUAAGAAAUUAGAAUGCCUCAUCCAUGCAUUGUUACAGUGCUAUGGCAUUUUCCUUCUCAGAUGCAUGCAUGCAAUUAAAUUAUUAAAAGGAUCGAUCAGGACAACAUAGUUUGUUUUCCUUUCCUAGAAGGACCGACUAAUAUUAAUAAGAACUAGAUCAACACUUCAACUCAAGCCACUGACCCCUGGUUGAAGGUCAAUUUAAUUGAGCCCAUAAUAUCCUAAAAGUCAAGAAAAUUAUGGAGCCUAACUCAAUCACCAUCACCCUCACCAAGAUUAGAGCGACUCAACCAAGGUUAGGCUAGGUUUCUCUAGCAAGUGCAUAUACUCUUGAUGUCGGCAAAGACUUGUGGGAAUAAUUUUUUGCAUCAUACUAAAAAGUUUUCAGUGUAGAGAACUGCUAUAUCAUGUGCGCUUGUGGUUGCUCUCUUUGCUGCUUCACAUUGCUUAAUUUCAUACUUCUAGUGGGUGUUCAUUGAAUUUACAGGGAAAAGAGAAUGGCUUCCUAACAAAAUAUUACGAAAUUAUAGUCUACUUUUAGUUAUUAUUAGGACACAUACAUUUUAUGUUCUUUCUUUCUCACGAUUACAUUAACAGCAACAUCUUUUUCUGUACCACGCAGGCACUAAUUUGGACAACACUCAAAUCUGCUGGUGCACGACCAGCGGGAAAUUCAAAGUUCCCACCCAGUAGAUGUUGUAAACAGUAUUCUGAAUCACCUAAUACGGACAAGUACAAGGACAGGGUAAACACUCUUUUGUUGGUUUCGACCCUUGUUGCCACAGUGACAUUUGCUGCUGGUUUUACCAUGCCAGGUGGCUACAACAGCUCCGACCCAAAUGUCGGCAUGGCUGCCUUGCUGAUGAGAAAUAUGUUCCAUAUGUUCGUCAUCUGCAAUACCACUGCUAUGUAUACCUCCAUCCUCGCGGCAAUCAUCCUCAUCUGGGCACAGUUAGGUGAUCUCAAUUUGAUGGAUACUGCCCUCAGAUUUGCAUUGCCAUUCUUGGGGUUGGCCCUUACUGCGAUGUCCUUAGGCUUCAUGGCAGGUGUUUACCUGGUGGUCAGUAAUCUUCAUUGGCUUGCAAUUGUUGUCGUCAUUAUUGGAAUCAUCUGCCUUGUCGGUCUCCUAGUAUCCUUUUUUUUACUUUUCCUCCCAAGUAAGUCUACUAAUAGUAUCCUUAGGCACAUCUCCUAUUAUCCGUUUCUUAUAUUGGUAUGGGCAUCUAAAAGCCCCGAAAUGAAACGGGAAGAUUAGCUCGUCCUGUUGAUGAUGUCUGCUAGCUCCAUCUUCCCCUGUGUUUGUUGCUUCUUUCAGCAUUAUCUCGAUGACUUGGUAGACAAAGUAUGUUAUGUAUAAAUGCUUAGUGUGAUAUAUUGAUGGUGUUGUACAUGACCAUUUCUUAUAUAAAUCUAUGGUUUUUGGAUCUAUAAUUAGGUAGUUCUAUAUAUAUUUCAAUAAAUACUCCAUUCAUACAUAAAUAACGUGAAUUUGUUAUUAAUAGGUUCAGUUUAAUUUAUUGAUUGAAAUUUGAAUUUUCAAUUGUAUUUUUUAAACUUUCUUAAUUAUUAUUCUUAUGAGAAUUUUGGGUAAAGUUUUGUUUUCAAAUCCGGGUUACAUCUUCUACGCUAGGAUUCAUUGGGAAGGGGAAAAGCUUUUAAUUUUGGAAAAAAAAAAAAAAAAUUGGCUUUUGAGUUCCAAAGUAUUUUUAAAAAUUAAGGAGUUUAAUAAUUUUUUUAAAAUAAUUUAAAAAUAAAAUAUCGAGGGAGUUAACACUAGAACCAAAAAUUGGUUGAAAAAGACUAUAUUAAUCUCUAGUUUAUGCACAAUUAUAUUUUUCAUUAUAUUUUAUUAUAUUAUUAAUAUUCAUAUUUUAUUAAAAAUUAUUUAGUUUGAAUUUAUUUAUAAUUAAAAAAUUCUUUUUAUUUUUAAUAAGACACAAAUUAAAUUUAACUUAUAUUAUAUAAAUUAAAUUUAUAAUUUGUGAUUUUUACAAAAUAAAAAUAAAAAUUAUUUUUAGAAACAACUAAUUUAAUUCUUAUAAUCAUUUAAGUUAUCUAAAUAUAGAAAUAAAUGAGAAAAUAAUGGAGAUCUUCAUUUCCAUUCCUGUUUUCCGCGUAGCAAACAGUCCCUCAUCUUAAUUAAUAACAUAACAUGAAUUAUAUAUUUGAUGGACGGUAAAAUCAACCCUUUGUUUGGUAACUCAUAUUGUAGUAAACCCUAAGUUGAGUUUGAUGAUAGUCGGACGUAUUGACGACGGAUUUGACGGACAUAACGUUCAAACCCGCUCAAAGACUCAAACCCACAGAACUUCACAACUGAUUAAAAUAAUUUUAUAAACCAAAAUGAUCAAACUUUGUAGUUUCUGGGAUUGGUGUUGAUGCUUCCAAAUAGGUUCCAAGAUGUUCCCAGUGAGUUUGGAAAAGAGAGAAGUGGAUUCCUUGAGCUUCUCAAAACAUUUUCUUAGAAAAUGUCAAACGCUUGGUCUCAAAAUCUAACCCGUAUGAUUCAAACACACCCAUGAAGACUUUUCUUUUGAAUAUUUCAAACUCCAGCAAACGAGUAAGAUAUUUGAGUUGCCGUGCUUCAUAUCCAUUCCGUGUCUGCUGGAAGUCCUAUGUGAUGUAAGUUGGACUAUCAAAUGAAUUUCUUUUGAGUAUCAAAUUUUUUAUUCAACUUAUCAUAUGUAUGUAAUGCAUAGGUUCUUCUCUCACAUAUUGACUUGGCCCUUACUUCCAUCCCAAGCAAGAGAGUGCAGGUAUCUCAUGGCCGGCAGUGGACUAAUGAUAUAUGAACUCAUUUUAAAUUGGGUCUGACUAACUUGGCCACAGGGGUUGUUACCUUGAAAGGACUUGAGUGGGGUUCAUGUUUAAGGUGGUGUUUGUUUUUUUGGUUUUUUGCUGAAAGUAAUUUAAUUUUAGAAUUUAAGUCGUUUGUUUUUCUAAUUUUUCAUAACUUAUUAUAAACUUUUUACUAAAUAAAAAAAAUUAAAAUAUGUAGCUUUUUUUAAAUAGAAAAAAUAACAUAUUAGUUUUUUUUACUUUUUAAUACUUGAUAGAAAUAAAAUAUUACAAAAACAAAUAACCUAAUAUUUAACAUUAUUAAGUAUUAAGGUUCUAUUUAGAAUUAAGUAAAAAAACAAACACCACCUGAGUCUUUCUUUUUUAAUCUAGGUAUGUACUGUGUGUGCUCUCUUCUUGUUUUAGUCGAAUUCAAAGAAUAGUUGUUUCUUCCUAGUCUUGGUAAGUGGUUGCUUAAGGGUAGCAUAUUAAGAUUUUUAUUAUUUUUAUUUUCUGUUUUUGACUUAGUGCCUUCUCAAGAUUUUGAAUUGUCAAAAAAGCUGGUUAUAUUGUAUAAACAAUCAUCAUAGUAUUAGAAUUAGCAUAUAUAAUUUGGUAUUGAUGUGCAUGUUCUCUUCCUCUGUAUGACCUAUCCUUUGCGAUGAAGUAUUGGACUGGUUUCUUUGUUGCCAUUAUUUCUUUUUUCUUUUAAACUUCUUAAACCAACAUAAAUACAAGCACAGCUAACGGAUUUGAUUAGGCAAGUCAACUACAAUAGGAGAUAUUAUGAGACAAGACGAUUUAAUGAUGAAUUUUGAGAGGCUAAGAAAGCAGGGGAGGGGAGAAAGAUGGAAGACAGGGAAACAAAGGCAAAAACAACCCAAGAAGCAAGCCAUCUUGGCAAUCUCUGAGCAUAAGGAUGCCAAAUUGUUGGAGGACUAUGUGACAGCUAGUUCCAUGGAUCCUGAUUUGUACAGACCUACGAUACAAGGAGACAUUCUUGAAUUCAUAAAAGCCGUGGAACAAGGACCAGACAAUAGACACGCUGGUGUACCUGCUGCAUCUUGUAUCCAAGUGACCCCUCAGAAGAACACAGUUCUUCACCUAGCAACGAUCUUUGGACAUGACGAGAUUGUGAAACUCAUUUGUAAGGACUUGCCCUUUCUUGUCAUGGAAAGAAAUUGCAGAGGUGACACUGCACUUCACAUUGCAGCCAGAGCUGGCAAUUCACUGCUAGUGAAUUUGUUGAUUAAUUCAACAGAGGGGGUUUUGGGUGUGAAGAAUGAGACGGGUAAUACCGCAUUGCAUAAGGCAUUGCAACAUCGUCAUGAAGAGGUGGCCUGGAAUAUAAUUAACAAAGACAGAAAUAUGUCUUGUUCUGUCAAUAAGGAAGGAAAAUCUUUGUCGUAUUUGGCCGCAGAAGCAGGAUAUGCAAAUCUUGUUAGGUUUAUAAUGGAAAAUCCUGCAGGAAACUACAGCAUUGAAGGAGAGCUCGAGAACAAACCAUCUGUGAAAGCUGCCAUUCUUGGGAAGAACAUAGGUAAAUGAAAUUCUCUCCUCUAAUCUCCCUUUUUUUUCCCUUAAUUGGUAUGCUUGUCUUUCAAUUUCAGACUUCCAAGAGCCUGCACUUGGAUUGGAAAUUUUUAAGUGACUGCACUUUCACACUUAGUUUUUUCCUACAAAAAGCCCUGCAACUACUAUAAACCACCCAAUUCUCUGCACCUGUGAAUCAGAAAACUUUACCCAAACUAUAUUGCAUCCAAUUGUCACCAUUAAAAGGUAAUGAUAUCAUGGCACAUAAGAGCAUUCCCAUUUUUCUGGAAGUUGGAAGACCUCAAUUAUUUCUUGCUUAAUUAAUUGGUGAUAUUCCUGUGCUUCCAUGUUUGAAUUAGUGUGUCCAUUGUAAUCUCCUUCCAUGGAUUUCCUUAGGUGUGGCCACCCAUCAAGAAGAGAUCAGGAAUAGUCCAGAAAUAUUACUGUCUUAUUCUAAUUACAUGAGUAUCUAGCAGUAAAGAAAUAUAUCUGUAGUAGCUGAUUUUUUUAGAUGGGUCCUCUAGUAGCCGAUCGACCUUUUUUCUUUACAAGAAGGCUUCUAUUGUGACUUGUGAAGACAAUGAUAAAUUGACAAUAUUUCUAAUUAUCAUUUGGAUUUAGGAGCAUAUUUUACCAUAUAUUUUGUUCUCACGCGUGGCAAGAUUUUCAUUUAAUGUGUUAUCAUCAGUCCUGUGAGCACCAAAAAAUUCGCUUAAAUAUGGUUCACACUUCUUUGUUUGUUUGUUUCCAUUUUUUUGUUUUGGGCGACGUUAGAUGUUCUCAAGAUAACGUGGGAAAGAGAUCAAUCAUCCUUCAAUUUAAGAUGUGAAGAAGGGAGGAACCCUCUUCACUAUGCAGCAUCUAUUGGUUUUGUUGAAGGAAUCAAUUACUUUGUAGACAAAUACUGUAUCGCUGCUUACCAAGGGGACAAAGAUGACCUCUCUCCUAUUCAUAUAGCAGCCAUCAAAGGUCAUUUCCACAUAAUUCAAGAGAUGCUUCAGCAUUGCCCAGAUUUGAUGGAGCUGCUCACUUGCAAAGGCCAGAAUACCCUUCAUGUCGCAGCAAAGAGUGGAAGAGCUGAAGCAGUUAGUUAUAUGCUUAAAAAAAUGCCGGAGCUUGAGAAGCUUAUAAAUGAGAAAGAUAAGGAUGGAAACACACCUUUACAUUUAGCCACUAUUUUUGAGCAUCCAAAGGUCGUAAGAGCUCUAACAUGGGAUAAGAGAGUUAACCUAAAGGCAGAGAACAAUGGAAGGUUGACAGCACUUGACAUUGCUGAUGAGUACAUGGACACAAUGGUUUCUUUUCGCAAGGUGUGCUUUACAAACUAUUUGUUAGGGGCUAAUCAUCUCAUUUUACUUGUUUAUAUUUAUCAUAUUAUUUGAAAACAACAAACGUUUUUUUAAAGAAUAUAAACUUUUAAAUUAUGUCUUCCCUAAACAAAAACUUGGUCAUUUCUUAAUUUGUUCGAGAAUCAAGGUUUAUUUUCUAUUCUUGUGGGCUAGUGAAUUGUUUUUUUUAAGUGUUAAGUGUUACAAUAAUCCCACAUCAGAAGUUGGAGAGAAAAAAACACCCCCUUACGCAGCGUGCAAAUCGAUCAAGAUCAAGGCAAAAAGAGUAUAUAAUUUUGACAUUAAAUCCAAAAUUGAAAAAGGGCUCACGUGGCAAAAGUUCAAUAGUGAAAAAAAUGAAGCUAAGAAUAAAAGUAAAUAAAAGUUAAAGCUAAUAAGGUAAGCACAAUUCAUAGAGUAUUGAAGAAAAUGAAAGUAAGAAUAAAGGUAAUCGAAAGUUAAAACCAACAAGGUAAGCACAAUCCAUGGAGUAUAGAAGAAAAUGAAGUUAAGAAUAAGGGUAAUUGAAAGUCAAAUCAUAACAUCUUUUAUUAACUUAGACAUUUACUUGACCAAAGCAAAAGCCAUUAGAUGCUUGUCUUGUAAUGCAAUCUUGCCCUUGGUUCAAUUCACAGCCUUAAAUGAUUCACUGUCAUCCAAUAGAUGGAAAUGGUGAUCUUAAUCGGUUUUUAAAAAUAAAUAAUUGUUUUUGUAUAAUUAAAAAUUAAUUAGGAUUAAAGAUUAAAAAAUAAGACUAAAGUUUAAAUUUUGUUUGAAUUUUAAAAUUUAGAAAUAUUAAAAAUUUAGAAAUUUAAAAAUAAAAAAAUGUAAAAUCAGAAAGGAUUGAAAUUAGGAUCUGUAUAUGAUAUAUUUGUGCGUCGGUAUAGAAGAUUGGGAUUUUGGGAUUGGAUUGAAGUAGAAAAUUCAAAAUGAAAUUACAAUAAGAAUACGGUAAAGGGAUAACGUUGGGACACCACUACUGGUGUACACUUCCAAGGCUGGAGGUAAAAGAAGGCCAUGCCAUGUCAUGCCACCUGGAACAAAAUAAGAGGUUCUACAGAUUCUCUUAUCGGAAUCAUUUGAAAUAUAGGAUGGAUGCAUGGAAGAAAAGGAGACUCCUCUAAAACUUGUGUAAACUUGUGUUUGUGUGUAGGUGAGAGGUUGGGACUCUCCGAUCAAUAAGGAACUCGGAGCAGAUUCGAACAAGGAAGAAGGCGGGGAAGGGCAGAUGGCACCACGCAUGACAUUCUCCGCAGAUGUGGACAUGGAUAGAGAUAGAAGUGCUCCUUACAGCUAUAAACACAUUGUCCCUGCAAUCUCCGCAGAUAGAAGUGCUCCUUCCACACAUGUGGGCAUGGCUAGAGAUAGAAGUGCUCCUUCCACACAUGUGGGCAUGGCUAGAGAUAGAAGUGCUCCUUCCACACAUGUGGGCAUGGCUAGAGAUAGAAGUGCUCCUUCCACACAUGAACUCUACGCCCCUGCUCCGGAGGAGAGGCUAGCAUCCUUUAUACGCUUCGCAUUCUUAGUAUAUAGGGAAAUUGAAGAAAAUGAGAAGAUGCUUCAUCAAGGAAGUGGAAGUGCUCCUCCCACACAAGAAGUCGUCGCUCCCGCCGAUGAAGAUGAAGAUGUGGAGCAGGAUAGAUUAAUGGACAGCCGCAUGUACAUGCAGGCGACCCGAGGACGUGUUGAUGAAUUUAUUCAAAUUUUAGAAUCGAUAUCCUCUGAAAAGGAACUUCAAAGCUCAGAAAUCCUCUCCCAAGUUAGCCCCCGGAACAACACAUGCCUCCACAUAGCAGUAAGAUUUGGACACCAUGAGCAUGCCGAGUACAUCGUGAAAGAGUGUCCAGACCUUAUCAAAAAGACAAACUCCACAGGCGACACUGCACUUCAUAUUGCUGCUAGAAAAAAGGAUUUAUCUUUCGUUAAGUUUGCCAUGGAUUCAUGUCCUUCUGGAAGUGGCGCAUCCCGAGAUGUAGAGAAGGCUGAGCAUCCAUUGCUGAUAAUUGUUAACAAAGAAGGAAAUACAGUGUUGCAUGAGGCACUGAUAAACCGUUGCAAACAAGAAGAGGUGGUGGAGAUCCUUAUUAAGGCAGAUCCCCAAGUGGCUUAUUAUCCGAAUAAGGAGGGAAAGUCGCUAUUGUUUCUAGCUGCAGAAGCACACUACUUCCAUGUCGUCGAGGCUAUAGGAAAACCUAAAGUUGAGAAGCACAAGAACAUUAACAGAGACCGCGAAGCCAAGUCGGCAGUCCAUGGUGCCAUUCUGGGAAAGAAUAAAGGUAUGACCCGCCCCAUUCUCAAUCUCCAUUUAAUUCUCCUGCUCUUCUUCUUCUUCUUCAAACCUAAAAAACACCAUUUCCAAUAAAAUCUUAAACCUAUAUUUGAUUCUCAUAGUUGAAAAAAAAAUUAUUAAGGGAAGUGAUUUUCUAAUAUGCUGUUGUACCAUGAAAAACAUGAAAGAAAGUGAAAUAUAAUUAAAAUUAAUAAGAAAUUUAUAUCAUUUAAAAUUAUUUAAUUUUUAUAUAAAAUAGUUAAAUAAGUAAAAUGAAUUUAAAGUAAUAUAUAAAAAUAAUUUAUUAACUUAAAUUUUUUUUCUCUCUUUUUUUAAUUUUUCUUCUUUAUUUUCUGUUUUCACAUAUUCCCUCAAACUUUCGGACCAAACAUAACCUAAAUGAUCACUUGAAGUCAAUCCCAAACUAUCCAAACAAUUCUUCUUUCUUUGCUCUUUUUCUUAUAGCCCUUUUUGCCUCCCCUUUAUUUAAACCAGCCAAUAUGCACGCAACAAAGCCACAACAGCAAAUUUUCUUUAGUUAAUUUUAAAAUUUUGUGAUUUAGAAAAGAAAAUUAAGAAUUAGGAGCUAGUGGGGUUUUGAAGAAGAAUAAGAAGAUGACAAACUAGGAUUAGGAUUUUGAAAACAAAGAUGAAGAAUAUUAUUUACAAGGACGGGUUUGGGCCGGGAAGAGGAGUUAUAAACAUUAUUGAUCUCCCAUAAAUUAAUAAAAAUUUUAAUUUUUUAGGAACGAGGAAUAUCGAAGCAAAAGCUGAAAAAAAAAAAAAAAAAAGCCAAUUUACUUUUUCUAUAAUUAGUUCAACAGAAAAACAUAAAUGUGUUCUCAUUUUAAUUUCUUUUAUAUAUGAUGAAAAAAUGCCAGAGAUGUUGGAAAAAAUACUAGCCCUGAAGAUCGUCCACCAAAGAGAUGAACAUGGAAGGACUCCACUUCAUUAUGCGGCAUCGAUUGGAUACCUUGAAGGAGUUCAAACGCUGUUAGCUAAAGACCAAUCUAACUUCGAUCGAUAUCAUAGGGACGACGAAGGCUUCUUACCCAUCCAUGUUGCAUCAAUGAGAGGCUAUGUAGACAUCGUCAAAGAGUUGCUCCAGGUCUCCUCUGACUCGAUAGAAUUGCUUAGCAAACACGGUGAGAACAUUCUUCAUGUGGCAGCCAAGUAUGGUAAAGAUAAUGUAGUCGAUUUUCUGCUGAAAAAAAAAGGGCACGAGAACCUUAUAAAUGAGAAGGACAAAGAAGGAAACACGCCACUGCAUUUGGCUACCACGUAUGCACAUCCUAAGGUCGUAAACUAUUUAACAUGGGAUAAAAGAGUUGAUGUGAAUCUUGUGAAUAAUGAAGGCCAGACUGCUUUCGACAUUGCUGUAUCAGUGGAGCAUCCAACUUCAUUGCACCAGGUAUAUAUGACGAUUUGCAUCUUGUUUUCUGAAUUAAGGGUACUACUAUUGGUUUCACCUUGAACUGCAUGCAUUGUUAAUGCUAUGGCAUUUUCCUUCUUAGAUGCAAGCAUGUGAAUUAUUAAAAGGAUCAAUCAGGACAACAUAGUUUGUAUUUCUUUCCUAGAAGGACCGACUGAUAUUAAUAAAACCUAGUUCAACUAAAAGAAGAUCAAUUUGAUCCCAUGAUAUCCUAAAAGUCAAGAAAAUUAUGGAGCCUAACUCAAUCACCAUCACCCUCGCCCAGAUUAGAGCGGCUCAACCAAGGUUAGGCUAGGUUUCUCCAGCAAGUGCAUAUACUCUUGAUGCCGGCAAAGACCUAUUGGAAUAAUUUUUUGCAUCAUACUAAAAGGUUUUCAGUGUAGAGAACUGCUAUAUCAUGUGCGCUUGUGGUUGCUCUCUUGCUGCUUCACGUUGCUUAAUUUCAUACUUCUUGUGGGUGUUCAUUGAAUUUAUAGGGAAAAGAGAAUGGCUACCCAACAAAAUAUUUCGAAACCCAACUCAUGGAAUUAUAGUCUACUUAUACUUUCUAUAGUUAUUAUUACGACGCAUACAUUUGAUUUUCUUUCUUUCUCACGAUUACAUUAACAGCAACAUUUUUAUCUCUACCACGCAGAGACUAAUUUGGACAGCACUCAAGUCUACUGGUGCACGACGAGCCGGAAAUUCAAAGGUCCCACCAAAACCGUCUAAAUCACCUAAUACGGACGAGUACAAGGACAGGGUAAACACUCUUUUGUUGGUUUCGACCCUUGUUGCCACCGUGACAUUUGCUGCUGGUUUUACCGUGCCAGGAGGCUACAACAGCUCUGAUCCAAAUGCCGGCGUGGCUAUCUUUCUGAUGAGAAAUAUGUUCCAAAUGUUCGUCAUCUGCAAUACCAUUGCUAUGUAUACCUCCAUCCUCGCGGCAAUCAUCCUCAUCUGGGCACAGUUAGGUGAUCUCAAUUUGAUGGAUCCUGCCUUCAGAUUUGCAUUGCCAUUAUUGGGGCUGGCCCUUUAUGCAAUGUCCUUCGGCUUCAUGGCAGGUGUUUCCUUGGUGGUCAGUAAUCUUCAUUGGCUUGCAAUUGUUGUCUUCAUUAUUGGAAUCAUCUGCCUUGUCAGUCUCUCAGUACCCUUUCUUUUACUCUUCCUCCCAAGUAAGUCUACUAAUCGUAUCCUUAGGUACAUCUCCUAUUAUCCGUUCCUUUUACUGGUAUGGGCAUCUGAAAGCCCCAAAAUCAAACAGGAAGAUUAGCUCGCCCUGUUGAUGAUGUAUGCUAGCUCCAUCUUCUCCUAUGUUUGUUGCUUCUUUCAGCAUUAUCUCAAUGACUUGGUAGACAAAGCAUGUUAUGAAUAAAUGCUUAGUGUGAUCAGGACUUCAAUAUAUUGGUGGUGUUGUACAUGAUCAUUUGUCAUAUAUAUCUGUAGUUUCUGGAGCUGUAAUAUGUGAAAUACUCUAUAAAUACUCCAUUCAUCCAUACUGAUCAAUGCAUAUUUGUCUUUGCUUUUUUAGAAAAGAAAAAAAGAAAAAAUAAAUCUUGGAAAUCCCAAAAUGAUUAAUUUGUGAAAUAUCAUUAUUUAACAAAAUAAAAAAAACACAUGAAUAUAUAAACCCCACUACAUCAUUUUCUUUGAAAUACCCUGUCGCGGUUGGUGAAAUAGAAGGGAGAAUUAUGUUUUGGGUCUGGCCCGAAAAUUGACUAAAAUUUCACAUAUUAUACACAUUUAAACCCAAGACCCAAAUAAAGUGUAAAAAUUAAGUUAAAGGAUAUUCUUAACCCCUACAUAGGCACACAGUGAAUGUAAAUUUCAAUUUUUUUUUUCCCUUUUCUAUUCCCAAUUAAGUAUUACUCACUUUUAACUUUUGUUCUUUUUUUAAAGAUAUUGAAUCUUUUUACUCAAGGAUAAAAAAGUUUCAUAUAAAAUUUAAUUUUUUUUAUUAUUUUCAUAUAAAAAAUAGUAUUAAACAAGGUUUUCAAUUUUUAUUUUUAAAAAUAGUUUUCAUUUUUUAAUUAAAUAUUUUUUCAAAAAUAAAAUAUAAAAAAUAUAAAUCAUAUUACCAUUUUUUUAGAAAGUAUUUUUUUAAAUAGUUUUUGAAAGUAAUUUGUCUUUAUUUAUAAUUUAAAAUAGAAAAUAAUGUUGAUUUUCACUUAUUUAUAAAAGAACGUUUUUAAAAAAAUGAAAAAUCUAAAUUAUUAAAAUAUAAUUAUUAUGGUUGCAUGAAUACUGGUGCAAUAAAGACCAAAAAAGUUUAUGUGAAAGGUCAACCCUAGUUUUAGAGUUUGGACUCGUAAAAACUCAAAAUUACUCAAAAUUCAUCUAGGAAUAGCCAAAGUUGAUGAUCUUGUUUCUAUAUAGAGCAAGUGAUGAUUGAGAACCAUCUACCUAGUCUAUCUAAUUAGUUAUGUGAUGCAAGGUGAAAAACCUUCUUUUAUUUCAUAACAUGAUUCUAUUUUAUAGACCAUAAAAUCAAUUCUUUGUUUGGUAACUCAUAUUGUAGUAAACCUUAAGAACCUAAAUCCCCCAUGUGUUUGACAUAAAUUGGGAAUUUUUGUUGUAAUAUGUGAGUCAUAUUGGGAGAAAGAUAUAUACGGAGAAAAAUAGGCCAAUGUCAAAGUGGAGCGGAGUGGAACGAUAGCAUUUGUCAUUUAAAUUUGUAUUUUUAUUAUUAAGGGUGAAUGAGAAGUUGGGGGGUGUGAGGGGACAACACCUCCUGUGGUAUGGUUUAGGGGUAUUUUUUAAAUUUUAUUACUUAAGAGUUAAUAUAAAUGUUUUUUUAUAUAACCUUAAUUUGACAUAUAGUGAAUUCUUCCCUAUUCUCAUAAACGUAGACAAUCCGUCGUUAAAUUUAUGCGUCUUUUUGUUUUUCUCUAAUUUCUUCAGCAAGAAUCGUUGCACGAAUAUCAACAAUUUUGAACCUAAUCUUAAGUUGAGUUUGAUCCUAGUCGGACGUAUUGAUGAUGGAUUUGACGAAGAUUACUUUCAAACCCGCUCAAAGACUCAAACCGACCUAACUUUGAAUUGGUUAAAAUAAUUUUAUAAAGUGAAAUGAUUAAACUUCUUACUUUUUGGCAUUGGUGUUUGUGCUUCCAAAUAGUUUUCCAGAUGUUCCCAAUGAGUUUGGAGAAGAGUGUUAGGAUUUCCUAUAAUUAUGCAGAAUAAUUAUAAGCCUAAUUCUUGCAAAACAAUCAUAACCCUAGUUUUAGAACUUUGUGAUUUUCAUAAAGUAAAUAAAUAAUAAAAAGAAUAGUCAUUAAAUUCUAACUUUUAAACAAUGUUCAGAAAAAUAAAGUUAACACCAAAAAUCCUAAUAAUAUCAAAAUCUCAUCCUAAUUAUCAUUCAUAGUUUGAACAGAGGGUGUCUAAAAAAUUGUUAAUGAAGGGAAAUGAGCUUAAAACCCAAUAGAAAAUAUUAAUACAGCUUCACAGAUAAUUUUUUUUUUAAUAAAGAUUAUAAAUAGAAAAUAUAAUGUAUAAUCCUUUUUAUAAAAACUUUUUAGUUUAAACAUGUUAAUACAUUCAAACUUUUUAACAAAACAUUUUUAUAUUAAUGUCAAAACAAUUUUAUAUUAAAUUCAAAUAAAAUAUAUUCAAAAUAUUUUUAUUCUGGUUAUCAAAUAUCAAAUGGUGCUCAAUUAUGUGAGACUUUACAAAUGGGUGGUUAGCCUCAAAUUUGUUUCUUUUACGACGAACCAAAUACUACUAAUACUAGUAAUCUCUAACCAAACCUCUAGAGAUUGGGGUUCAAAUAAAUUACAUUCUUCACUAUAAAAUGUAAAUGUCAACUAUUAUAUCUCAUUAAUAUGGGUUAAAAAGUCAACUAUUAUAUUCAGUAGAUAAGGGCCAAAAAGUCCGAAUAUUAAAUCCUGUUACCUAUGGCCGGCUAAAAAAACCAAAGUCAAACACUUUAUUUUAUUUAUUCAAAUUUAUAAAAACAUAAUAUUUUCACAUGUUUAUGUUAUAAACAAAAAAAAAAUUUAAUAUAUUUUUUAUGCAAAAUAUAUUUGAUUUAUGCAUAAAAACAAAAAUAACAUUUUACACAUUUUAAAAUAACAUGUCAAAAGAAAAUUUUUUUUUUUUUUUACAAAAUCUGCAUUAAUUUCCCUUACGUCGAAAAAAAACUUAGAAUCCUUGAAGAAUUUAAUUAUGUAUAAACAACUUUUCAUCUAAUAAUAUAAGAAAAACAAUUAUAUAUUACUAUUAACUAUUUGUCUAAAAUUAAUUAUAAGUUUGAUAAUCGUAAAAAUUUAUAUAUUAAUAUUAAUAUUUAUAAGUAUCAAUGAUAAUUUAAUUAUUUUAUUCCUUGUUUAAGUAAAAUUAAUAAAUUUCUAAUUUAUAUAAAACUUUUUUCUCUAGUUUGAUUCUAAAAAAUAAAAAUACAUUACUAAUUUAAUUAAACUACAAUUUUUAUUUCAUUAAUUAAAUUUUAUUUAUUUAUUAACUUAACAUCUAUCCUCAUUAGCAUUAUUAUACCAUCAACCAACCUUGUAAUUCACCCAACUCUCAACACCUAAUUAAUAUUCAUAUAUAUUUUCCUCAUUCUCCCAAUAAAGGUAGGUAGGACUCGCUUAAUUAUCUUUUUCUUAUUUUAUUUCUUUUCUUUCUUGCACAAACCACACACUCAUGGCUACAUUCUUUUUUUUUUUUUCCUACAAACUUCCAAAAAUCACACUGUACACACUCGCCAAGGAACUAAAAGCUAAUUUUUAUUUUUUUUAAACACCCAAAUUCUUUUUCUUUUUUUCUUUUUUUCUUUUAUAUAUGUUGUCAAUACCACCCCAAAUCCAUAAAUCCUUUUUCUCUUUUUCUAAUACCCUAAGCAUAUAAUAUAUAUAUAUAUAUAUAUAUUGAAGAUUUAAGAUAUAUUAUUUAUUUAUUAUUGUUUUAGAUCUACUAAAAAAAUAUUCAGAAUUUCCUAUCUAUAUCAAUAAAUCAACAUUUAUUCAUAAAUUUUCACUCUUUUUAUUUAGAAUUUAAAUAAACAAAUUAUAUUCUAGAUUGAGAUUUUUAAAGAAUAUUUAAGUGUUUAAAACUAAUUAACAAAUAUAAAAUACUAAUUAAAAUUCUACUUGGAAAACUAAUUUAAAACCCUAAACCUCCAAACCUUCAGUUCUAUAUUGUCUUCAAGGAUUGAAAUAUCGGUUUUUACGGAUAUAUCGGUACUUCAAUUUUACGGAUAUAUCGGAAAUAUCGGAGAAAUAUCGGUGGAUAUUUUUUCAUAAAUAUCGGUGGAGUGAAAAAUAUUUAAAAUUAAUAGGAAUGCUUGAAAAAACUUCAAAAAAUGAUAACAUAAGUAAGAAUACACAUUUUAAAGUUAUCUUGUAAGUGUAAUUGAUAUAUAUAUAAUUAAGAAGAAAAAUAUCAUAAAUAGAGAUAUAUUGGUAGAUUCGAUAUUUGAAUUUUAAAAAUAAUAUAUAUGAAUUUUGAAAGUGUAUAAAGUUAAAAUUGAGUUAAGAAAUAUGAGAUUGCAAUAGUCCUUAUACUAAGAAAGAUAUCGAUGUAGUUUCAAUAUAUUAUUAGAUGAAGGGAGUUCAUCUUGUUGAAGACAGUAUUUAUUUUAAAAAUUUUAAAAUAUUUUUAUUAAAACAUAUUUUAUUAUAUUUUAAAUGAAAAAUUAAAUUAAUUUAUAUAAAAUAUCUUAUUUGAGAUUUAAUUUUUAAAAUUUUAUUAAAAAUAUGUGAUAAUAACUUUUUCUAUUAAUAUUAAUUUAUUUAAUAAUAAAAAUAAAGGUUGAUAAUUAAUAAUUAUUUAUAUAGAGAGUGGAAAAUUGUUCUCAUGAUUUUUUUACAUAUUUUAUUAUAUUUUAAAUGAUAAAUUAAAUUAAUUUAUAUAAAAUAUCUUAUUUGAGAUUUAAUUUUUAAAAUUUAUUAAAAAAUGCGAUAACAACUUUUUUUAUUAAUAUAAAUUUAUUUAAUAAUCCAAAUAAAAGUUGAAAAUUAAUAAUUAUUUAUAGAAAAUUGUUCUCAUGUUUUUUUUAUUUUUUAUUUUUUAUUUUUUUAUCUCCCCUAAAUCUAAAAAUAAAAAAAAAUAAAAAAGGCACCCACUUCUCUCUCGGGCAUCAAGAACCCUUUUCUGAAGGUGUCUUCUAGUGAGAGAAUCCCUAAAAAGCCCUAUUUUCCUCUGCUACUCUCAAAUCUCAAUCCUCGCAGGUACUAAUCUAAUCAUGUUAUUAUUAUUUUUUUUUUUGCAACCCCCGUUUGAUUCCCAAGAAAAUCCAUCCCCAUUCGAUUUCCGGGAAAAUUCAUCCUCGUUUGAUUUCCGAGAAAAUCCAUUCAAAACUCCCAAAGAAAACCAAAAAAAUUGCUUUUCUUUUGCUCCCUGUGUUUUCUGGAUCUGUUUUAGGGGUCUCUUUGCUGUUGUGCCAUUGGAUUUAAAUUUCACGAACCCUAAAUCCACGAUUUUUGAGCCAGGCUGAAAAACACAACUGCGCGGGCUGGACUGGUAGGAAAUAUCGCGAUUUUUCUCCGAUUUUUCGGUGCUUCACCGAUAUUUCGCCGAUAUAUCGGCGAUUUUGUCGAUUUUUGGCCGAUUUUUCCGUCGAUCGAUAAUCGGUGCCGUUUAUCGUUUCCAUGCCGCCCGAUAACCGAUAUUUCGACGAAAUAUCGGCGACAUUUUCCGAUUUUUCAAUCCAUGAUUGUCUUAUGUUCUUUGAUCUUUUUCUAAUCUCAGUGUAAAAGGAUUUCAGUAUAGAGAAGUUAAAAAAAUCUAAUUUAUAUUUAAGGUUUAUAAUACAAAAAGACCUUUCUAACCUUAUUAAAAAAAAUUAUUUUACUCUAAUUUAUGGUUUUACCCCUAACAACAAAAUGGGGGUUGUCACAUAAGGAGCCAAAUAAUUAAAUAAUUUUUAAAAAAUAAUUUAGAACUUAAAAAAAGUGUUUGGUCCGAUAGGACUGAACUACCUUAUAAUCCGCUGUUAGCGUUUAGCUUGGCACUUAGAAAGAAGAGUCUCUAUCACCUAAUUUAUAGGAAUAAGAGAAUUUUUUUAGUGGGCAACUCUUGUUUAGUGAUUACGCAUAGCCCUUUGUCUUUCAAAAUCUGUGAGUUGUGCCAAUAUAGACCUUAUCCCACGAAAGGUGAACCCGGAUGUACAGAAACUUUCUUGUUCACACUUAUCGGCUUUCAAAAGGGGAACGGAGAGACUUGACUGAUAACAAAAGAAAAGAAGAGAAAGGGACGGGACUUUUACGAGCUCUCCAAAACAGGCUAAGAGUCUAGCUUGUCUUUGCCCCUGCCCUACCUUAGCUUUCCUCUUUAGACUUCUUUUAAGAUUCUGGUCUACCUGCCCGCUUUUCGCCUUGGGAAAGACCUAGCGAUUGCCGGGGCAUAUGAAGAAUACUUCGAAACUGCUGGAUGCAGAAGACAGAUUUUAUGUUGGAAAUGCCACUCCUUCUACUGCUAUUCCCACUUCUGGAAGGAAGUGUUUUUCUAUUUUCUUUAGUAAUAUAUAUGUCACACCCUAAGACCCACUCUAAGGGCGUGACGGUCAUUUUACACCUCAAACCCGAAGGCUUAAAGUAUAACCUGACCCAAACAAUCAUAUUGUAAUUGGAAGUAACCAAUUACCAAAAACCUGUUCAGAGUAGCAGAACAAAAUUCUAAAAUCUCCAAACUUAACUUUAGAACUAAGCAUCCAUUAUCCAAAUAGAUUGCAACUCAACAAUUCAAGUACUAACGAAUUUUUAUAAUCUCCAAAUCUCAACUUCAAUCUAUCAUAAAAAAAAAAAAAUUUAAAAGCUCAAUAUCUAAAUAGCUUCCAAAAACUAAAUAAACCAAAUGAACAUAAACUUAUAAGCUAACAAUAUUCAAAAAUAACAUCCUAAGAAAAAUCCUAAUGAUGACCAAUUUUCCCGCCUAGUCAUCACUCCUCGCCCGAACUAAAGGUACUUGAAAAAUUUUCAACAAUUGGGAAUAAGCUCACAACCCAAUAAGGAAUAUUAAUGCAGUUCAUGGAUCAAAUAUUUUCAUUUCAAAUAGAAGAUAUCAUUAUUAUUUUUUUCUCAUCAAAUAUCAGAGUUUCAAAAAUACCAAUAUAUUCAAAUUUCAACCAACCAUUUUCAUAUCAAAUUCAAACACUUUCACAUAAAAUUCAAUCAAAUCUAUUCAAUUUUCAUUACUCUGGUUAUCAAAUAUCAAAUGCCCAUUUAGGUGUGACUUUUCAAAUGGGUGGCUUACUCCUUAUCCCCAUCUUCACCCAGGCUAACGGGGCCCUCCUUAUUCAGGGGGGAGAGUGGAGCCUCGAGAAGCACUGUUGAGAGGAAGAUCCUUGGCCCCUCUUCAUUCUCUACAGGGUUCCAAACCUUUCUUCAACAUAGGUGACAACGAGUGGGGCAGAGAUGGAAGAGAUCGAACACGGGAAUAAGAAGCAAGCUCGCCUUCCUUUUUUAUCAUUUUGAUAGACGGGAAUGGAGAAAGUAGACAAAACAGACCCGCAUUUCCCAAUCGAGGGUUCCUUUUUCGUCUCGCAUUUCUGGAAAAGAAGAAUAUUGAAAACUCUCCUAACCCAACCCCUUCCUUCGUAGAGCCGUGUAUUGUAAGUGAUCUGAACCUGCCCGGAGUGAGCCCCCCAUAGAGGCAAGUGAAGUUGGUGAGCCGUAUGAUGGGCAACUAUCUCCUGCAGUUCGGAGAGGACUCAACUGUUAGUUAGUAACUCCUUGGAUUCGGGGUGGACCCUUUCACUCUAUUUUAUUAUAUACGGUUCGCAAAAAGAAUGUUUUUUGAUACACCUAAGGACAUGGAUUCUAUAUGAACCAAUGGAUCGUGACAAGUCGUUACUACUAGCAAUGACUUCCUCUUUCAUUACUUCAUCCUUUCUAUAUCCCUCUCCCUUGUUCUUAGUUACUCAUCAAAUGGCACUCAGUUCAUAUCUUUAAGUUCGAUCAUUGACAAGGUUCAAAGAAAGGGUGGGCCAUUGAUAAAGAAUCGAUUCCAAACCACAAUGCUAGCAGAUGGCGGAGACUCAAUUAAUUUCAAAUUUUCAACCAAAAUAAUUAAAAAUAUCCCAAAUGUAUGUGUAUUAAAAGAAACUAAAUUAUUCAUUUAACUAGAAAGAGUAAAUUCAUAAUUUAUUUAAAAAAUAAUAUUAACUAUUAACAUUUUCUAAAAUAUUAUUAUUCAUUUAAAAUAUAUAUAUAUAUAUAUAUAAUUUUUAUUUUUAUUAUAAUGUUAGUUUCAUAUUUUAUGAAUAUUAUAUGUGUAUUAUUUAUUUAUUUCGUCUUUAGAAUUUACAUAAUAUUGAUAUUCAUUUUAAAAUAAAUUAAGGUUUAUGCAUGUGGCUAUUUUUAAAAUACUAUAAUUUAUUCUUAGAAAGUUUAAUAUAUUAUUAGUUAUUUUUUAUAGAAAAUUUGCUAUUAAUAUGUAAGAAAAUCUUUUAAAAAAUGUUUAAUAAAUAAAUAAAUAACCAUUUAGCAAGAGGAGUUUGUAUAGUGGGUGAGAAAAAUGAAAUAAAAGCCACGGCGCUAGGAGAUCUCUUUCGUGGCAAUGAAUCUAUUAUAUAAAUGGAAAAUGUGAAUGAACUAUUUGCCAUGUUAAUUUUUUUGAAAUAGUGUAAGGAAACAUAUUUUGGUUGUUAGAUGUUUUCCAUAAGAAAAGUAUGUUUGGAAACUUAAAUGAGUUCAAUAUUUUUUUUUAAAUAAUAAUAAUAAUAUUUUUUAUUUACAACACUUUAUCUUCUUCUUUUUUUCAUAUUUACAUAAUUAUUUUUUAAAAUAAAUAAAAAUAAUUAAUAUAUGUUCUUAAAAAACUCUAUACUUUAAAUAAGUUCUCAAAAAUAAUAUUUUAUAUUAAAAAUUAUCAAAUAUGUUUUCUAACCGACAAGACAAUUCCAAUCUUAUUCAUAAUUUUCCUAAUAAGAAAUGUGGUUCAUGAUUGGUUGGUGGUUAGUCACUAUCCAUUGAAUUCAUAGAAGUAAAUGUUUAUACACCUCAUCUACCAACAAUGGUUCUAUCCUCAUCGAGUCAUGUGCAUACCAUUUAGUUUACAUUUUAAAAUUCUGAAAUAGAAAAAUGAAAUGAAAAUUAAUAAAAAAAAAUAUUUAUUAAUAUAUUUGGAUUAAUUGUUUUAUAGAAUGAGAAUAUGAAUAAAAAUUUUAUUAAUAUAGAAAACAAAUUCUACUUUUAUGAGGAUUUUGAUUCCUUUGUUCUAUGUGAUAGUGAUUUAUCUUACGUUUGGUGGAUUGAAUAAUAUAUAAUAUGUAUAUUUUAAGAUAUCAUAUCCUUUCCUUAUCCAAUUUAUUUAUAAGAUUUGUAUUUAUCAUUCAAAACUUAUCUUUUAAUAAGUCAAUUAAUACAAAGCUAUUAUGUAGUCAUAUAUUCGUCACUUUUUUUUUUAUGUUGAUAGAGAAUUUAACUUUUUGCCAUUGUAUCUUAUUUUUAUAUAAUUAUAUUAUAUUUAUUUUAUUUUUUAUAUUAAGUUUUAAAUGUAACUCAUAAUUGGUUGGAGGGUUAGAGACUUCGUAAUAUUAGAAAAAUAAAUUACAUCCUUAUCCCACAAACAGGGUAACAACAUAUAAAUCUUUUUAUCUAUCACUCAAAAACCACAUUUUAGUGAGGCAAGCUAUACAAAGCCAUUGUAUAGUUAUAUAUUUGUCUCAACUUUUCUUUAAGUUGACAAUGAAUUUAAUUUUUUGCGCUAAUAUCUUAUUUUUAUAUAACUGUACUCCAUUUAUUCUUCUGUAUUAAUUUUUAAAUGUGGCCCAUAAUUGGUUGGUGGUUUAAUUAUUAUCAAUGGUUUAAAUUGAUCCAAUUAUCGACUAAUGACCUUUCUGAUCUAAUUCACACCUUUAAGUCGUUUGAUCAUUGAAUUUAUAUUAUUAAGAAACAAGUUGCAUCUUCAUCCAGCUAACAUACUAAUGAUAUUACAAGCUUUUCAUUGGCAAUUCAAAAGCCAAAUUUUAGUAGGAAAGGCAAUACAAAGCCAUUUUAUUUUCAUAUAUUCAUUUCAAUUUUUAUUUUUUAUGUUGACAAUGAAUUUAAGGGUUUUUUUUUUCUUUUUGCCCUUUUAUCUCUUUAUAUAUAUAUAUAUAUAUUCCAUUUCUUGCUUUCAUAUUAAUUUCCAAAUGUGACCCUUAAUUGGUUGGUGGGUUAGUCAUUGUCUAUUAAGUUUAGUUGCAUCCUUAUCAAGCUAAUGUGUCAAUAACAUGCUAACAACAUUUAAAAUUUUUCACUAAGACAAUCAAUACAAAGUCAUCAUGUGUCAGGACCCCAAAAUUUGUCCCAAUUUUAUUUUUACAUUAAUUUCGAGCUCAAUUUUAUGCUUAGGUUUCAAAUCCCAAUUACAUGUUUUUUUAACACACUCAUCAUUUAAUAGUUUUUAUUAUUUUAUAUAUUAUAUUAUUAUUAUUACUUUUUAUUAUUAUUAUAUUAUAUUAUAUUAUAUUUUUAUUUUUUUAUUUUUAUUUUUAUUUUUAUUUUCUCUCUCCUCUCUCCUCCCUUCCUACUCCCCAACCACUUCUCUCUCCUCCCAUACUCUCACCACCGCCACCAUCCCAUUUACCAUAAUUUUUUUUCAUUUUGCCCCCAUUUUUUCUCCCCAUUUUCGCCCCCACUUUUCUCUUCUUCACACAUGCUGGCCCCCACCACUCCUCUCUCUCCCCCACUUUUUCCCCCCCAAAUUUUCUCCCUUCUUCCGACGUACGGCCCUUGGAUUUUUUUUCUCCCUUCCCCCUCAUUUCUUUCCUUUGGUCCUCCAUUUUCAUGCUUUCCCCCACAAUUCUCGAGGUCAAGCCCCCCAUUCCGCCCCCAUUUUUUUUCCUCCAUUCUCUCCAUCUUCUUCCUCCUCUCCUCACUCCCCCGGCCGGCUCUCUCCCCAUUCUUCUUUUUCCACCUUUUUCUUCUCUCUCCCACACGGCAGUAGCUCCCCCUGAUUCUUUUUUUUUUUUUUUCAUUUUUGUUUUUAAUUUUUUUUUAUUGCUUCCCUUCUCAAAAGACCCACACAGCCGGCCUCCCCAUCCUCUCUUUUCCAUUUUUUUUUCUCUUUUUAUUUUUCCAUCUUCUCAUUUCUCUCAUCCCCUCACUCCCCCAUCACACACGUUUUUUUAUUAUUAUUAUUACUAUUAUUAUUAUUAUUAUUACCUUUUUUAAAUUUUUUCUUAUUUUAAUUUUAAUAGUAAUUGUUAUUAAAAUUGGGUUUGUAUAUUUAUAUUUGUUUAUGGGUCUUAUGUUUGAGUUUUGUUAAUUAAUAUAAAAUUUGAGUUAAUUUAUUAUUGAUUGAUUAAUUUAAAAUUUGUUAAUUUGGUUUUGUGAAUAUAUUACAUUUAGUGAUCAAUGUAGGAUAUUUGGAUUAUAUCAAUUACAUAUUAUUUAUUGGGAUUUGGGCCUAUUGUUAAUUUGUUAUUUGUUUAGGCUUAUUGAAUUAGGCUUGAAAUAUUAUUUCUCUUGACUAAGCAUAUUUUUUAUAUGGGCUUAUUAAUUAAUGUGAAUUUUGGGGCACAGAAUGUGGGUGAGAUUUAUUGGAUUAUUUGAAUAUUUGAUAUGAGUUUGGCAAAUUUGAAUUAUUUAAUUUGGAUGUGGGACAAUUGUGGUGUAUAUUAAAUUAGGCUUAGAUUAUGGAAUAUUAAAUUUAGACCUAAUAGAAUUUAUUUUAAUUUAUCCAAUUUUAGGUUUGGUUGAUUGUAUUUGUAUUUUUUGUUAUUAAUUUAGAUGUUUUGGGUUAAGACCUAUAGUAAUUUGGGCUCAUUUUAAUUGGCAAAAUUUAUGAUACUAAUUUGAAAUUGGAAUUUAGGAUUGAAUAUCUGCUUGAGAUUUUGCAAAUCUUUGGGUAUUUACAUUUGUGCUAUCUUUGUUUUUGCAUGGAUCCAUUAUGCAAUUUUGUUACGUGGAGUUUGUGGCAAGUUUAUUUUGACACAUAUUUUAUUUCCCACUUUUAUUUGGUUUUAUUUUUAUUAAUUCUUGUAAAUAUUUAUUUGUAUAUAUUUAUUGAAUGUGUACAGAAUUGAACAUCGAACAAAUUAGAAAUUUUGUUUAAAUGAGAGGAAGAAUUCAGUAAAUGUAUUUUGAUAAAACAAUAAUUUUAAAAUAUUAUUUUUAAUAAAAGAAAGUUUUUAUUAUUAUUAUUUAUAAAAAUCCAAAAGAAUUGUUUUUAAUAGAAUUUGAAAAAUUGUUUUUAAUAACAUUGUCCAAAAAUUUCUUUGCUUAAUAAAAAUUGUCCAAAAAUUGUUUUGUAAAUAAAGUUGUGCCAAAAAUUAAUUUUUAAUAAAAUUGUCCAAAAAUAUUCUUUUAAAUGAAUUCUUUUUCUUUAAUUAAAAUGGGAUUAAAAGUGUUUUUUUUUUAGAAAUAGAGGAUUUAAUUUUAUUUUUUUAAAAUUUAAUUAAAAUUUCUUUUGCAAAUAAAGUUAUGUUCGCUUUUUUUAAAUGAAAAUAAAUCAAAAUAUUUUUGUAAAUAAAAUUGUAAAAACUCAUUAUUUUCUAGUUAAAAACAAGUAAAAAUAAUCUUUAUACCCAAAUUGGACUUUUGUAAUAAAUUCUUCUCAUACAAUAAGUGUAAAUAACUUUUCUUAAAAAUUAAAUACAAAUGAAAUUGAAUCAAAUCACUUGAAGAAAAUGUUUUGUAAAUACAUAAAUUGAAAUCAUCAAUUCAAGAUCAUUUUUUUUUAUAAAAUCCUUUGAAAUUUCUUGGAAAUUAUUAUUAUUUUUUUUAUUUUUUAUUAUUUAGUUCAAUUAAUCAAUUUUUGCAUAAUUCUUUUAUUAUUUAUUUUGUAUAUUUUUGUAAUAAGAUUUCAUCAUUAUUUUUGUAUAUAUUGAUUUUCACCAUGACUUGUAUAUACUUAUUUGUAUGAUUAUUUUUUGGUAUCCAUAAUUAAUUAAUUAAUUAAUUGUCAUAAUUCCUUCAAUUCGUUUAGUAGAGGCCGUAUGUAUACGGGCUUAGAGGAGUGUUACAGCUCAUCACCGUACCUUCCCAAUAAGUAACCUGACCUCCGAACCCAAUUUUGAUUUUCCACAGACCUGUUUUUUUUUUUCCUUCAAAAGUCACACUUAGGGUCUUUUUUUCUUAUUUUAUUUUUCCCUUUAAAAAAAAUAAAAUAAGUGGCAACUUCAAGCCUUUUUCUAAAAAUCAAUUUUUCAUUAAACAAAUAAUAAAAAAACGAGUCACGCCGUCGAGUGGGAACGCACAUAAAAAUGCGGGGUCCACACACAUUUGUCUCAAUAUUUUUCCUUUUUUUUUUUUUUUUGCACUUAUAUCUUACUUUUAUAUUAUUAUAUUUCGUUUCUUUCUUUUGUAUUAAUUCUCAAAUGUGAUCCAUAAUUGGUUGGUGGGUUAGUUAUUGUUCAUUGAAUUUAUAUCACUCAAAGAGCUAAGUUGCAUCCUCAUCUAACAUGCUAACGACAUUUAAAACUUUUUAUUUGUUACUUAAAAGUCACUUUUCUUUAAGACAACCAAUACGAAGCUAUCGUGUGGUCAUGUAUUCAUUUAAAAAAAAUAUAUUUUAUUUUUCAUUUUUGAUGUUGACAAUGAAUUUAAUUUUUCACACUUAUAUUUUAUUUUUAUAUAAUAAUAUUCCAUUUCCUUCUUAUAUAUUCAUUUUCAAUGGUGACCCAUAAUUGGUCGGUAGAUUAGUCAUUAUUCAUUUAAUUCAUAUCACUAAAAAAUAACUUAAAUCAUCAUCUAGUUGAUAUGUUGAACCAUAUUUAUUAUUUACAUUUCUUAACCAACUUAAUCUUUUGAUAAUAACGACAAUUCAAAUUCAUGAGAUAGUAUGUUUUUAUAAUUUUUUUAUUAGUAACGGAAAAUUCUCAUCGAUAGACUUUUGUCAACACAUUUUUCCCUAACUAUCAUGUAUUGAGAUUAUCCGUUGAUAAAUAUUUAUUCAGAUAAUGUAUAUUAAUGAAGAAAAGUAAAAUUUUUUGUAAUAUGUUAACAAUGAGUUUAAUUUUUUGCACUAAUUAAUAUUUUAUUUUUAUAUAAUUAUAUUUCAUUUCUUUUUUAUAUUAAUUUUCAAAUGUGGAUAAUUUGUAGGUGGAUUAGUCAUUGUUCAUUAAAUUACAUCGGUUCCAACAUGGUAGAAGCCAACUAUAACAAAAGUUGUAUUAUCAAAUGAAGUUCAUUUAAACCAGAUUUUUCUCAAUUCAAUUAAUCAUUAAGCCAGUCUAUUUUUGGGGUUUUGUUUUGUGUUGCACCAUAAUGCAAUUAAGUUGUUUGAUGAGAAGUCUAGCCAAAUUUGAUAUCGGCUGACCCAUGCAAGUUGUUUGAUGAAAACACAUCUAUUUGUACCAUGGAAAAAAAAUACAUGGCAUUAUUAAAUUUCAGACUAUAAUGUAAUGCCAUGAUCAAAAGGGUUGAAAAUAUGAGAAUAAUUAAACUCAGUAAAUUAAAAUGAUAGCAAAAUUUUAACCACAUUGUUGUGGUCUUCUUGAGCAGUAAAGCAAUUAUAGUAAGCGUCUAAUUAAUCAAGUAAAAUAAUUAUUAUUAAUUAUAAUAAUUUAUUUUUAUUGUAUAGAUAUUAUUAAUGCGCAGCUUUUUGUCUUAUUGACGAGGCAGGUAAUGUUUGCUCACCCAUUUUCCUUGCUCUCCUGUGGAAAUUGUUCCUACAUGCAUUUCAGCCCUUGCAGUGCCUGCGUCCACACUUUUAAUGCUACGUCCGUAUUUCCAUUUAUCAGCUUAGGUUAGAUAAAAAAUGCAAAAGGUAAAAUCAGAUAUAAUAGAAAUUAGGCUCUGUAUGUCAUAUAUUUGUGCUGCGAGUAUAGGAGAUUGGGAAUUUGGAAUUGGAUUGAAGUAAAAAAGUCAAAAUGAAAUUACAAUAAGAGUACGGUAAAGAGAUAACGUUGGGACACCAGUACGGAUGUACACUUCAAGGAAGUAGGCCAUGCCAUGUCAUGCCACCUGGAACAAAAUAAGGGGUUCUACAAAUUCUCUUAUCGGAAUCAUUUGAGAUAUAGAAUGGAUGCAUAGAAGGGAAGGAGACUCCUCCUCCUCCUCUAAAACUAAUUUUUGUGUGUAGGUGAGAAGUUGGGAUUCCCCGAUCAAUUAAACAUGGCUGAGGAGAGGGAUCCAGUAGAGUUGGGCAUGGCACUCGGCGCAGAUUCGAACAUGAAGAAGACGGCGUAACAGCUAAGAAGAGGGCAAAACGGUGGGCAAUCACCGCAGAAGCGAGCAUGGAAAGAGAGAAGGGGACGCUUGAUCAAGAUGAAGAUGAUUUGUGUGUAGGUGAGAGGUUGGGAUUCUCCGAUCAAUCAAACAGGUCUAAGGAGAGGGAUCUAGUAGAUCAGUUGGGCAUGGCACUCGGCGCAGAUUUAAACAUGAAAGAAGACAAGGAAACAAGUAAGAAGUGGAGGGCAGAUUCGACACUGAUCAGCUCAGAUUCGACAAUGGAAGAAAACCCUGUACCGCCUGAGGUGUGGGUGCCAGAAACCUCGCCAAUCUUCGCAGAUACUAAGAUGGAAAUAGACAUCAGCUCAUAUGUGACAAUGGAAGAAUACCGAGUACCGCCGUGGGUGCCAGAAGCCAGGGUAGUAGGCAUGCCAAUCUCCGCAGAUGCGAACAUGGAAAUAGACAGGGAAACGCAUCUUGUAAGAAAUAUAAGUGCUCGUUCCACACAGGGACUCCACGCCCCCGCUGAUGAAGAUGAAGAUGCGGAGCAUAAGAAAUUAAUGGACCGCCGCAUGCACGCGCAAGCGACCCAAGGAAAUGUUGAUGGCUUUAUUAAAAUUUUAGGCUCGAUAUCCUCCGAACAGGACCUUCAACACUCAGAAAUUCUCUGCCAAGUUAGUCCCCGGAAAAACACAUGCCUCCACAUAGCAGCAAGCUUUGGACACCAUGAUCUUGCCAAGUACAUAGUGAGAGAGUGUCCAGAUCUUAUAAAAAAUAAAAACUCCAAAGGCGAC
rnacentral:lncRNA from 1 species